rnacentral:lncRNA from 1 species
GGGGCAUAAUAUAAUUCUAAAACCAAAGUCCAUUACCAAAGAACCAUUCCCAUGAAACCAAUUAUCCAAAACCAUCAUUAAUGCAUACAAAAGAAUAAUUAAAACAUAGGAAAACCAUAACUAAGCAUUUAUAACCAAAACCCCCAAAUCAUCAUCCAAUAAUAGAACAAUUUCUGAAAGAUAACAAAAUACGACUUAUUAGUCAACUCCCAACAUCUAUACUAGUCUGACAAGCCUCUAAGAAAAUCAAUAAAACCAGCAAGCCAUUGAGACAUGCCCCAACUGACUCAUACUCAGUUAUCAAAUGUAAACAAUUUCGUGAAACCAACAUCAGACAUCAUGUCCUCGGAAUAUGAGGACUCACCACAACAGAGGAUGUAGAACAGCGUGCCCGAAGAAUCACUGUCGAACCUGGAACUGAGCACCUGAACCUACAUUCCAAGAAAAUGCAGCCCACAUCCGAAGAUGUGGGUCAGUACCAUGGAAAGGGACCGAGUAUAUGGGGGUUUAUGCAGUUGUAUAAACAUCAUCAUCAUAAAUAUUUAUAAGAAAUAUGCAGGAUGUAUGAAAGACUCAUAUAGCCCAAAGAAAAUCAUCAUAAUCAUGAAAAGAUGAAAUAAGUACAAUAACACAUGUGAGUCAUCAUAUAAUUUAACAAUCACUUUCAGUUCAUCAAAAAUAUCAAUUCUCAUAAUGUAAAUAUCAUUUAAAUCUUUCAAAAAAAUAACUUUCACAAUUCCACUUUCAAAUUACUUCACCAUUCACCAUAGACACAAGGAAACACACACACACUGGGACAUCUUAUAACCAACAUAAACAAUGUGAGCUACAUGGAGUCCAACGUAUAAUCCACGUUGUGGAGAUUCGUCCUAUCCUUGCCAUCAGAGUAGGACUAUUAAUAUCAAAUCCACAUAAACUAGUGAUCACUAUAUAAAUCAGCCUCAGGCUGACUCCUACGGGGGCACGUAGUUCUAGGGAAGUAAGAUCGCUUUAUACCUCCCACUCGGUGCUAAAGAUUUCUCCCAAACUUAUCNNNNNNNNNNNNNNNNNNNNNNNNNNNNNNNNNNNNNNNNNNNNNNNNNNNNNNNNNNNNNNNNNNNNNNNNNNNNNNNNNNNNNNNNNNNNNNNNNNNNNNNNNNNNNNNNNNNNNNNNNNNNNNNNNNNNNNNNNNNNNNNNNNNACAAUUUCCAAUGGGGAUUCACGACCCAAAUAUCAAAAUCAUGAUAAAUAUCAUUCAAGAUUCAUGUUUUAUAUCUCCACACAUGUAAAUUCAUCUUUCAAAAUCAUAAACAUCAAGAUUUCAUAAUAAUCAUCAUAAGAUAUGGGUUCAUGCUUCAAAUUCAUAAAAAUCAAAUAAAAAUCAUGCCUUUGUAAGGAAAAUUACUUUUGGGCACAAGAACGAAAGAGAGUUCUUGUUGAAAAACUCCACAUACCUUGAAUGAUGAACUUUAGAUCGAUACUCAUUUUUGACAUGUUAAUCAUGCCUUUGAAAGAUGGUUCUUGGAGUUCUUGAACUAGAAACUUGGAAUCUUGAAUAAAUUUGCAGAAUUAAUGGUGAACUUUGGAGGUUCUUGAAGUUGGAUGUAGGAGCUUAGGGUUUCUUUUUGAGGGAAUUUGAUCAAAUAUAACAUAUAAUGCUUCUAAUAGGCUUUAAUAUAGGGUUUGGACUGAUUUUGUGUGAGGAGGAAUGACCAAAAUGCCCCUAAAAAUCAAAUAAUUCUCGAACCUAUCCUUUGGUAGACUGUUUUGAUAGUCUGGAGUAGAUCAACCAUAACAUUUUACUCUGAUAUUCAAAUUGGAUGAAACCAAUUUCAUUAAAAAGAGGACCCUUAUAUCUUUCCGUUGAUAUACAUAAUCUCACCCAGAUCAUUGUGUACGAGGAGUUAUGAUCGCUUGAAGUUGACCAAAAAUUUCACUUUUGAUAAGCUGAAGUAGAUUGACCAUAACUUUUUGCUCUGAUAGAAAAAUUGGAUGAAACUAAUUUCAUUGGAAAGAGAACUCACAGAGCUUUCCGUUGAUAUAUAGUGGAUCACCCAGAUCAUUAUGUACAAGGAGUUAUGAUUGUUUAAAGUUGGAUCAAAAAUACGCCAGGCCUCAGUACUUUUUUCUUGCACGUUUUACUGUUCACUACUAUUCACGGUCCUAUUGAAAUGUUCAUAACUCAUCGCUCGGAUGUCUGUUUUUUAUGAUCCACAUAUCGUUGGAAAUCUUAUUCGAUUCUCUACGUAAUAGUGGAUCAUAAUAUAAGACAUUCCACACAAAAAAUUUAUAAUUCAUUCUAGAAGAUAGAACCCAACACGUUUAUGCAUAAAAUUUCAACGAAAAAUUUCUCGGGGUAUUUCAUCAUCCCCCCUUGGAAACAUUCAUCCUUGAAUGACACUAGAAAUGACAAGAUUAGAUAGGGAAUAUAGCAUACUACAGAAACCAUUUGUUAGACUCAUCACCACAUAGUUUCUCACUCCGAAUGCAACAUACAAUGCAUAAAUUCAAGAAACUACUGCUGAACACAUAAUAAAUGACAACUGACCUGCUGCAACUUUAUGAAAAGUGCAUGAUUUAGGAAAGAAUGGUACCUUAGGCUUGAUCGGAGUUCACGAAAAAUAUGUGCAGGUACUUGGAUCGCAUAUUCGCCUCAGUUUCCCAAGUUGCACCCUCAACAGAUUGGUUUCGCCACAACACCUUGACCAAGGGAACUUCUUUGUUCCUUAGUCUUGGACACUCAAAUCAAGAAUCUCAACAGGAAUCUCAUCAAAAGAAAGAUUUUCUUGAAUGUCAGCACUCACAGAAGAAUCCACUACAACAGCAUCGCUAAUAUGCUUUCUAAGCAUGGAGACAUGGAAUAUUGGAUGAACAGAGGACAACUCGGAAGGCAACUCGACCUCAUAAGCUACCUUACCAACACGGNNNNNNNNNNNNNNNNNNNNNNNNNNNNNNNNNNNNNNNNNNNNNNNNNNNNNNNNNNNNNNNNNNNNNNNNNNNNNNNNNNNNNNNNNNNNNNNNNNNNNNNNNNNNNNNNNNNNNNNNNNNNNNNNNNNNNNNNNNNNNNNNNNNNNNNNNNNNNNNNNNNNNNNNNNNNNNNNNNNNNNNNNNNNNNNNNNNNNNNNNNNNNNNNNNNNNNNNNNNNNNNNNNNNNNNNNNNNNNNNNNNNNNNNNNNNNNNNNNNNNNNNNNNNNNNNNNNNNNNNNNNNNNNNNNNNNNNNNNNNNNNNNNNNNNNNNNNNNNNNNNNNNNNNNNNNNNNNNNNNNNNNNNNNNNNNNNNNNNNNNNNNNNNNNNNNNNNNNNNNNNNNNNNNNNNNNNNNNNNNNNNNNNNNNNNNNNNNNNNNNNNNNNNNNNNNNNNNNNNNNNNNNNNNNNNNNNNNNNNNNNNNNNNNNNNNNNNNNNNNNNNNNNNNNNNNNNNNNNNNNNNNNNNNNNNNNNNNNNNNNNNNNNNNNNNNNNNNNNNNNNNNNNNNNNNNNNNNNNNNNNNNNNNNNNNNNNNNNNNNNNNNNNNNNNNNNNNNNNNNNNNNNNNNNNNNNNNNNNNNNNNNNNNNNNNNNNNNNNNNNNNNNNNNNNNNNNNNNNNNNNNNNCCGCUUCACCCACCUCAAACCAACCUAUGGGUGAUCUACACUUCCUCCCAUAUAAGGCUUCAAACAGAGCCAUGCCAAUACUAGAGUGGAAACUAUUAUUGUAAGCAAACUCUAUCAACGGUAAGUGAUCAUCCCGACUUUCCUUAAAGUCAAGUGUACAAGCUCUCAAUAUACCCUCUAAGGUAUGGAUGGUCUACUCAGCCUGACCAUCGUUCUGUGGAUGAAAAGCAGAACUCAAAAGCACUUGGGUACCAAGACCCUUUUGAAAAGCUUUCCAAAAUUGCGAAGUGAACUGAGUACCUAGACAAGGGAACUCCAUGCAGUCUGACUAGAUCUCGGAUAUACAAUCUAGUGUAAUCCUCAGCAGUAUAUGAAGUAUGAAUAGGCAAGAAAUGAGCAGACUUAGUCAACCUAUCAACCACAACCCAAAUGAAAUCAUGAUGGCGUCGGGGAAGGUGGUAAACCAAUCACAAAGUCCAUAUUUAUCUCUUCCCACUUUCAAGUGGGAAUACUAAAUGCUUGCAUCAUACCACCAACUCUUUGGUGUUCAACCUUAACUAAUUGGCAUGUUGCACACUUAGCUACAAAUGCUGCUAUAUCUUUCUUCAUGCCACUCCAUCAAUAGAUUUCUCGCAAGUCUCGGUACAUCUUGGUGGCACCAGGAUGAAUAGAAUAUCGCACCCCGUGCGCUUCAGCUAUAAUCCUCUAUCUCAGAUCAUCAACAUUUGGGACACAUAAUCUACCCUGCAAUCUCAACACACCAUACUUUUUGGUCCUUGACUAACUCCUUCAGUCUAACCAAACUAGCAUCUAAAUAUUGCUUUUCCUUCACUUUCGAAACCCUUCCAAAACCAAGGAGGAUUCGAAACUACUCUGAACCCCUAUACUAUCUUCAGCAGAGUCAAACAACCUAACCCCCAAUCUAGCCAAAUGAUGUAUAUCACAAGCCAAUUUUUUCUUACCUUCUACCACAUUCGAAACACUACCCAUGGACACUCUACUUAGGGCAUCCACCACAACAUUGGCCUUGCCUGGAUGGUACUGCACACUCAUAUCAUAGUCCUCUAAUAAUUCUAACCAUCGUCUCUACCUAAGAUUCAAUUCUCUCUGGGUAAACACAUACUGCAAACUAUUAUGAUCAGUGAAAACAUCAACAUGGACACCAUACAAAUAGUGUCUCCAGAUUUUCAAAGCAAACACAACAGCAGCCAACUUAAGGUCAUGGGUAGGAUAAUUUUUCUCAUGGGUUUUCAACUGUCGAGAAGCAUAAGCUAUCACCUUACCCUUCUGUAUCAAUACGCCACCCAACCCAACUCUUGAAGUAUCACAGUACACUAUAAAACCAUCAAUACCAUCAGGCAAAGUCAAAACAGGGGCUGAAGUGAGUCGAGUCUUCAAUUCCUGAAAACUCUUCUCACAAGAUUCGGACCACAAGAACUCCACUUUCUUUUAGGUCAACCGAGUCAUAGGAGAUGUUAUAGAGGAGAAACCCUCAACAAAACAGCGGUAAUAGCCAACUAAACCUAAGAAACUUUGGAUAUCAGUCGGAGAAAUAAGUCUAGGCCAAUUUCUAACAGCUUCAGUCUUUUAGGGAUCAACUCUAAUACCCUCGAACGAAAUGAUAGGAGCUAAAAAAGUAAUUAACCUUAGCCAAAACUCACACUUACUGAACUUGGCAAAUAACUUAUGAUCUCUAAGGGUUUGCAAGACAGUUCGACGAUGAUCAGAAUGUUCAUCCUCACUACAGGAGUACACCAGUAUAUCAUCGAUGAACACUAUAAUAAACAUAUCCAGAUAUGGUUUGAACACUCAAUUCAUGAGGUCCAUGAAAGCUGUUGGGUCAUUAGUUAACCCGAAAGACAUAACAAAAAACUCAAAAUGGCCAUAACGAGUUCAGAAAGUGGUUUUCGAGAUGUCACAUUCCCUAACUUUGAGUUGAUAAUAGCCAGAAUGAAGGUCUAUCUUUGAGAAAUAACUUGCACCUUGCAAUUGGUCAAACAAAUCAUCUAUUCUCAGAAGGGGUACUUAUUUUUUACGGUGACUUUAUUUAGUUGGCGGUAAUCAAAGCACAUACGUAAAGAGCCAUCUUUCUUUCUCACAAACAACAUAGGAGCACCCCAAGGAGAAACAUUGGGCCUUAUGAAACCCUUAUCUAGUAGAUCUUUGAGUUGCUCUUUCAACUCCUUAAGUUCUGCAGGGUCUAUACGGUAAGGAGGAAUAGAAAUACGCUGAGUAUCAGGAAGAAGAUCAAUCUUGAAAUCUCUCUCUAUCAGAAGGUAUCCUUGGGAGAUCAUUCGAAAAGACAUCAGAAAACUAAUUGAUGACGUUAACAAACUGGAGAGUUAGAGUCUCAGACUUAGUGUCUUUGACUCUAACCAAAUGGUAAAUACACCCUUUGGAAAUAAGCUUUCUAGCUUUGAGGUAAGAGAUAAAAUGACUCUUGGGUGACACAGAAUUCCCAGACUACUUAAACACAGAUGCACCUAGAAACUGAAACUUAACCACUCAGGUCCCACAAUCAAUAGAGGCAUAAGAAGAAUACAGCCAGUCCAUACCCAGAAUCACAUCAAAAUCUACCAUGUCUAACUCAAUUAGAUCAGCCAACAAGACUCUAUGAAGAACGGUAAUAGGACUCUUUUUAUACACUUUCUGGGCAACAAUCAAAUCACCCACUAGGGUAGAAACUAGGAUAGGCUCAGGAAUAAUCUCAGGACUCAUUUCAAAAUUCACAGCAAUCAAAGGUGUAACAUAUGAGAAACUAGAUCCAGGAUCCAACAAAGCAUACAUAUCAAAUUGAAAUAUAUAAAGCAUACGAGUAACAACAUCAAGAUAGUCCUCCUAUUCCUGGUGGGAUGGUAAAGCAUAGAAUCUAUUCUAGCGUUGCUCGCUAGUAUUGCUAGAAGAGGCACCCUAAGCUGGGGCUGGGCGAGUCGCUGGAACUGGAGCACUAAUAGUCUAAGUCGGGGUCUGAGGGCGAUAGUCACGAUGCCCUUGUCUAUCCUGUGGACAAUCUCUAACUAUGUGACCCAUGUCACCACAUCAGAAACAACCCCUCUUCUCACCCCAACACUCACCCGAAUGAGCCCUACCACACUUAGGACACAGGGGACGAUUUGGCUUACUGCCAGCACUAUACUGGGACCUGGAUGCAUAUGACCUACUACCUUGCUUCUGCCUACCUCUAGGCAUGGGAGCACUAGUAGAUACUGGUGCUGGCAUAGAUGAAUGAUCCUGAUACUGAGGGUGACUCCCUCCCUGCGAUCUAGUCUGAUCCUGUCCAUGCUGCUCGGACCUAGCUCUCUUAUUGCCUCUCAUUCUAUCUCUCUACUUAAUCUUGUCUACCUCAAUCUAUUGGGCAUGAGUCAUCAUCCUAGAAAGAUUCAUCUCACUAUUCAACAUAGCAGACCUACACUCCUUAACCACAAAACUAGACACUCCAAUCACAAACUUACUCAUACUAGCCUGAUUAUCAGCCACUAAGUCAGGAGCAUACUUGGCCAACAAAUUGAACUUUAGAUAGUACUCCCUAACAGUCAUAGAGCCCUGUCGCAGGUUUAUAAACUCUUCCACCUUCGCCUCCCUCAUCUCCAAAGGGAAAAACAUAUCCAGGAAUGCAUCCUGGAACUCUUGCCAAGUUGUAGGGACAGCUCCCUCACCUCUACCAUUCCUCCAAGCAACAACCCAGUUAUAAGCAAGGUCUUUCAACCUAUACGCAGCCAACUCCACACUAUGUUCCUCAGAUACAUGCAUCACCUGAGUAAUCUUUCACACCUCCUCUAAAAACAACCGUGCAUCCUCAUCAGACUUGGACCCAUAGAAUUCUGGUAGAUUCAUCCGCAUAAAGUCAUGGAUCUUGGAAGCAGCUGAAUCACCUCCCUGCUACUGUGGAGCUAGGGCCAGGUUGGCCUGAAUAUUUUCAGUAACAGCUUGAGCCAGCAUCUAAAAGGCUGCCAAAAUUCAGCAUGAGACACAUUUAUAGAACAGUUGAAAGACCUCAUUGACAAGGGUUUUAUCCAUCCUUGUCUAACUCUGUGGGGUACUCUUAUUUUUUUCAUGCAUAAGAAGGAUGGUUCCCUUUGGAUGUACAUCAAUUACCAUCAGUUGAAUGAGGUUACGGUAAAGAACAAGUAUCUUUUUCCUUGGAUUGAUGAGUUAUUUGACCAGCUUCAAGGUGCUGGGUGUUUCCCAAAAAUUGAUUUUAGGUUUGGUUAUCAUCAGCUAAAUAUUAGAGAGGUGGAUACCCCUAAGACUGACUUUUGACUCUGAUAUAGUCACUAUGAGUUCUUAGUCAUGUCUUUUGAUUUGACUAAUGCCCCAACAUAUUUCAUAGACUUGAUGAAUAGGGUUUUUCAUCUAUUUCUGGAUUUGUUCAUCAUCAUGUUUAUAGAUGAUACUCUGGUGUACUCCAAGAGUUAGGUGGAUCACGCCGACCAUCUUCAUAUUAUGUUACAAACCUUGAAGGAUCAGCAUUUGUAUGCUACAUUUUCAAAGUGAGAGUUUUUGUUGGAAGUUGUUACUUAUCUAGGUCAUGUCAUUUUUAGGUAAGGGAUCAUACUGGAUCUAUAGAAAGUUGCAGUGGUUAAGAAGUGUCAUAGGCUAAUAAGUCCAACUGAUAUUUGGAGCUUCUUGAGUUUAUCGGGUUAUUAUAGAAGGUUUGUGGAGAUUUUCUCAACCAUAGCUGCCCCAUUAACUAAGUUGACCUAGAAGAAGGUGAAGUUCUUAUGGCCUAAUGCUUGUGAGGGUAGUUUUGAAAAAAUAAAAAAUAAGUUGACUUCAGCUUCAUUUUUUACCCUGCCCAAAGGUAAUGAUGGAUUCUUGAUUUAUUGCAAUUCAACCUUUAUGGUGACUUGGUUUUGUUUUGAUGUAGCAUGGUAGGGUGGUGGCCUAUGCUUCUAGGCAGUUGAAAACUUAUGAGAGGAAUUAUCUGACUCAUGAUUUGGAAUUAUUGGCCGUGGUGUUUGAAUUGAAGAUUUGGCAUCUCUAUUUAAAUUAAGUCCAUGUAGAUAUCUUUACUGAUCAUAAGAGCCUGUAAUAUGUGUACACCCAGAAAGAGUUGAAUCUUAGGCAAAGGAGAUGGCUUAAUUUGCUGAAAGACUACUAUAGGAGUCUCUAUUACCACCCAGGUAAAGAUAAUAUGGUUCCUUGUUACAUCUUGGAUUUUGGGCUAAGAAAUUUUCCUUGAAAUUAAUUCUCUACACCAAAUAUGACUCUAGGGUAUGAUUUGUAUGUUGAGGUACGAGUAGUAUGGUCCUGUCGUAAGCUAAUCAGUGUUAGUUGGUGGGAUGGUUUUGAUCACUGGAAUGGUCAUGACUUAGGGGGGUGAGUUGUAAGGAUUGAUAUAAGUCAUAUCAAUGACUUGUAUAGUGGGCAGUGUUUGAUCCUCUUGGUAAUUCAUUCUACCUGGCACAUGAAUCAUGGGUAUGAGUCGUAUGCUGAGUUUAUGACUUGGUUGGAUGAGUCAUAUGUUGGACACUGUCUGAUCCAAAGUUAGGGCCUAGGUACAAAUGGUGAAAACCAAUAGUGAGGACGGGUAUGACUCGUACGAGGUUCAUACGUAUCACUAUGAUGGGUUUUUAAGGAACUUAAGUAGGGGUAUUCUAGACAUUUUCCUACUUACCCUAAUUAUGACCCACAACUUCUAAUAUAUUUAGGAGGUUAUUUAUCUAUGCUAUGCAGGAAACGACCAUUCAACUCCUCCUACAAAUGAAUAAAUUGGGGACAAUAUUUGGAUUGAAGUGGUAAACUUCUAUCUUUCUAGAAGGCUCCAUUUCAUAAAAUAGACAUUCUUAGACAUUUUGCUUUUGUUUUGGAUAUUGGUUUUGGCCAUGGUUGGGGACAUGUCCAAACUAGAUAUUUGUAUUAUUUUGAAUAAAGGCUUUGUGGUACUUCUGGGGGUUGGUAUGGGCAGGAUCAAUAUUGGUGUCGGCCUUAGUAUUGGCAUUGGUAUUGGGGCUGACAUUAUUGGUUAAUAUUAUUUGUGGUUCCAUCAUAUUAUAUUUUGGGUUUGAUUAUCAUAUUAUGUUUUGAUAUUCACUUUGAUUUGGUAUGGUAUGGAUUGUUGGUUUGGUGUGGAUAGACUCAGUUAGGUUGGUCACGUUUGUGACAUUUUCCAGAGUCUUCAUGAUAGCAUUUAUGCAAUCUUUUUAUAUGCUCAAAAUUUAGUCUAUCUAAGGCUAUAGAAGGUGGUUGGGUUGGGUUAAGGGGGCAGUCCCUUGUCCUAGUUGGACUUGGGAUUCCCAUUACGUUUAGGCCCUGGUUUGAGUCUUAACAAGUUUGUGUCAGAGCUUUAGGUUCAUGGUCAACUGGGAAGUUUAUAAAGCCGUGUCGAGUAGAGUCUCUUUUAAAGGUGUGAAGCGUGCCACAAUCAUAAGAGAAAGGUUGGGAGACAUUUAGGAAUAUUUCACUUUCUUGAAAUUCUGAGUCCUGGAAUCUUCUCUAAUCCUUGGUUGUUUGUCUUUCAGGUCAUUCCUCCAAGAUCUAAAACAUAAAAAAAUUCCUCCAUCGCAUCUGGGGAUAAUGCUGAAGGGGCACCUCCUAUGUUUGGAGUACAUCUUUGAUCUCAUGAUCCUAUUGUUAAUUGUACUAGAGUUUCUCUUAUUCCUCUUACUGCUCCUCAAGUCCUCCAGGGUAACAUAAAAAAUGCAGAGUUUCGUCAGUCUAUUGAUGUUAUUGCUCAGAUGGUAGCUGCUCAGGCAAAGUGGGGUACGGCUACUGCUUUAUCCACUGAGGCCAUAAGAGUUAGUCAAUUUAUGAAGAUGGGUCCUCUUACUUUUACGAGAUUGAAAGUGGAAGAAGACCCACAGGUCUUCUUACAUAAACUGGAGAAGAUAUUUCAGGUUAUAUAGGCUUCUGAUAUGGAUAGAGUUAGUUUUAUAGCUUAUCAGCUCAAAUAUAUAGCUUAUCAGUUGGAGGCCUUUUCUAAUGCCAUCAUGGAUCAUUUCUUUUCUCAAAAGUUAAGAGAAGCUAACAUGGAGGAGUUUGUUAACCUCAGGCAAGGAAGGAUGUCUGUGAGGGAAUAUACCUUAUAUUUUCAUCAGUUGUCAAGGUAUGCUCUUGAUUUGGUGGUUGAUAUAAGGUCGAGAAUGAGAAAGUUCUCUUUUGGGUUUAAUAGAGAUUUUAUUUUAAAGAGCAAGACUGCUUUGCUUAUUAGGGAUAUGGACAUCUCUAGGUUGAUAGUUCAUAUGCAGUAAGUUGAGGAUGAGAAAAAAACAGGCAAAAUUUAGGGAUAGGCAAGAAAAGUGGGGUAGAUUCUCAAAUCAGGGAGGUGCGCAGUCUCAGGUUGGUAGAGAUAGUGGCAUGUGGUAGAAAAAAAGAGGGGGAGUUUUGUUUCCUUCUCUACUGCCAGUGCUUCUUACCCAGAGCAGUUGGGCAAUAGGCAUCACAAUGAUGGUGAUAAUUCUUGAGCUCAGUAGCCCAAUCUCAGGCAAGUAGAGGUCAGUCUGUUUUUUUAUGCAAUCUUUGUCGGUUUUGCGAUCGUCCUCAUUAGGAAUUUAGUGAGAAAGGUAGAGAUAAGUUCUUUAAGUGCGGUUAGGUAGGCCAUUAGCUCAAGGAUUAUCUGGUAAAGAAGGUUGCUACAGAGGAAAAUAAGAUUUUGGUGGCUUCAUCUUCUUCUGCUACACCUGGUGGUGUGGUAUCUGCUUCUGUUAUUGCUCCUGGUUCUUGUGUUGAUCGGAAAAGGUUGUAUGCUUUGGCAUUCGAUCAAGAAUUUAAGGCAUCACUUGAUGUUGUUACUGGUAAGCUCUUUUCUUGUGAUGUAUAAUGUUUUCUUGAUCGGGGCUCCACUCUUUCUUAUAUGACUCCCAAUAUGGCUUAUGUCUUUUGGUUUUGAUCUGAAAAUUAUUUUGUAUCCAUUUUAUAUUUCUACCUUAGUAGAAGACUCAGUCACUACUGAAUGGAUCUAUAGAAGGUGUGGUAUCUAUUGGUGAUAGGCAAACCAUGGUAGAUCUAUUUGAGUUAGGAAUACUGGAUUUCGAUGUGGUUUUGGGUAUGGAUUGGUUGCAUUCUUGUUAUGCAUCUUUAGACUGUCGGACUCAUAAGGUCAUCUUUAGGUUCCCUAGUGAGAUGGAAAUAGAAUGGUAGGGUUGUUCUUUAGCUCCUAGGGGUAGAUUUAUUUCUUAUCUUAGAGAUCAAAGGUUAAUCUCAAAAGGGUGUCUUUAUAACUUGGUCCAGGUUAAAGAUUCCAACUCAGAAGGUCCUUCUUUACAUUUAAUUUUGAUAGUUAACUAGUUUCUAAAGGUCUUUCCGAAUAAUCUUCCUAGUGUUCCUCAUGAUAGAAAAAUAGAUUUGGUAUUAAUUUGCUUUCGGACACUCGUCCAAUAUUAAUUCCUUCGUAGAGAAUGGCUCUGGCUGAGUUAAGAGAAUUCAAGGAGCAAAUUAAGGAUCUUCUAUAUAAGGAUUUUAUUCAUCCUACUGUUUCUCCAUGGGGUGCACUAGUGUUGUUCGUGUGCAAGAAGGAUGGUUUCCUUCAGAUGUACAUUAACUACAUAAAUUUAAACAAGGUAACGGUCUAGAACAAGUAUCCUCUCCCUAUAAUUGAUGAUCAAUUUGAUCAGUUAUAGGGUGCCAAGAUCUUUACUAAGAUAGACCUUCGGCCUAGGUACCAUCAGCGUAAGAUUAGGGAGGUAGAUAUCCCUAAGAUAACUUUUCAUACUCGGUAUGGGCAUUUUGAGUUCAUGGUGAUGUCGUUUAGAUUGACAAAUUCUCCAGCAGUAUUUAUGGAUUUUGUGAACUGGGUGUUCAGUUAGUAUUUGUAUCUUUUGGUCAUUGUGUUUAUUAAUGAAAUUUUAAUGUAUCUGGGGAGUGUGGUGGAUCAUGUUAAUCACCUCUGUAUGGUGUUGUUGACCUUAAAGAAACAAUAGUUUGUUGCCAAGUUCUCUAAGUAUGAGUUUUUGUUGAAUGUCAUGACUUUCUUGGGUCACACUAUUUUUAGUGAAGGGAUAAUAGUUGAUCCACAAAAGGUUGUUGCAGUAAAGGGGUGGCCUAGGCCCACGACUCCAUCCAAUGUUUAAAGCUUCUUGGUUUUAGCUGGGUAUUAUAAGCGGUUUGUUGAAAGCUUCUCAUCGAUAGUUGCUCCUUUGACUAAGUUAACUCAGAAGAAGGUUAGUUUUCUUGGUCAGAUGCUAGUUCGGGGACUUUUGAGAAGUUUAAGGUUAGCUUAACUUCGACUCUAUUUUUUACUUUGUUGGAAGGUAAUGAUGGGUUUGUGGUUUAUUUUGAUGCAUCUCGGGUAGGGAUUAGUUAUGUUUUGAUGUAGCAUGGGAUAGUGAUUGUCUAUGCUUCCAGGCAGUUGAAGGUACAUAAGAGAAAUUAUGCUACUCAUGAUUUGGAGUUGUUGGCGAUUAUGUUUACUUUGAAAAUAUGGUGGCAUUAUCAUGAUGUUCACGUAGAUAUCUUUUUCGAUCAUAAGAGUCUUUAGUAAGUGUUCUCUCCAAAAGAGCUUAAUCUCAAGCAAAGGAGAUGGCUUGAGUUUCUUAAGGAUUAUGAUAUAUGUCUUUACUACUACCCAGGUAAGGUUAAUGUGCUUGUUGAUUCUCUUGGCGGGUUAUCGAUGGGCAGUUGGCUCAUGUAGAGGAAUGAAUGCGAGGAUUAGUGAAGGAAAUUCACUGCUUGGACAAUCUUUGAGUUCGUUUCUUAGAUUCCAAACUAGUGGUGUGAUGGUGCAAGAAGUGGUUCGAUCGUCUCUUGGUGCAGAGAUUAAGGAGAACCAAUUGUUAGAUUCGACUUAAUGAAAAUCAAGAGUGGUGUCAAUGGGCAGUAGGUGGCGGUGUUUGAGAUUAUUAGUGAUGGUACUUUGUGGUACCAAGGAAGGCUAUGUGUUUGGAAUGUCAGCGGGUUGCGACAAAUAAUUUUGGCUGAGGCGCAUGAUUCGUGCUAUGUCUUCCAUCCUAGUUUGACAAAGAUGUAUCAUGGUCUUAAGGAGAUCUAUAGGUGGAAAGGUAUGAAGAGAGACAUGGUUAAUUUUGUAGCCAAGUGCAUGGUGUGUCAAUAGGCUAAGGUUGAGCACAUGAGGCCUGGUCGGUUGCAUCAAGAAAUAGAGUUGCCUGAAUGGAAGUGACAAAUGAUUAAUAUGGAUUUCAUUACCAGUUUUUCUUGGUCUCAAAACCUAUUUGAUUUGAUUUGGGUCAUUAUGGAUAGGAUGACUAAGUCUGAUCACUUUUUGCCAGAGAGGACUACCUUUCAGUGGAAGAUUAUUUAAAGUUGUACCUUCAAGAGAUUGUAAAGCUUCAUUGGGUGCCUGUUAAUAAUUUAUGAUCAUGGUACGUAGUUUACAUCUCAUUUUUGGCGGUCUUUCAAAAAAGGAUUGGGUACUAAGGUUAGUUUUAGUAUUGAUUUUCAUUUGCAUUCGGACUGGCUAGCAGAGAGAAUGAUAUAGACAUUGGAGGACAUGCUUCGGGCAUGCGUGAUUGAUUAUAGUGGCAGUUCAGUUGAGCAUCUACCUUCGGUAGAGUUUGCUUACAACAAUAGUUGUCAUUCUAGUAUUGGUAUGGCUCCUUUUAAGGUGUUUCAUGGUAUGUGAUAUAGAUCUCCUAUUGGAUGGUUUGAGCUUGGUGAGGUGGAUAUGUUUGGUCCCAAUUUUGUCUAUCAAACUAUGGAGAAGGUGAAGGUAAUUCGAGAUAGGUUUAAAGCUGCUUAGAGUCGCCAAAACUCUUAUGCAGAUAUUAGGCGUAGAGAUUUGGAGUUUGAAUUUAGGGACAGGGUGUUCCUAAAAGUGUCUCUAAUGAAGGGAGUAGUUUGGUAAGAAGGGAAAGCUUAAUCCUCGGUUUAUUAGUCCUUAUAUGAUUUCACAGAGAGUUGGUAAUGUUGCUUAUGAGUUGGAGUUUCCAUCUAGUUUGGAUUUGGUUCAUCCGUUCUUUCAUGUUUCUAUGUUGAGAAAGAGCAUUGGUGAUCCUUCGUUGGUUGUUCCUUUGGAAGGAUUAGAUAUCUCAAAUUCUCUGUCUUAUGAAGAGGUCCCGAUAGAGAUAUUAGAUAGGCAAGUUCAUCGAUUUUCGAUCAACGAUGUGGCUUCAGUUAAGGUUCUGUGGUGGAAUGAAAAGGUAGAAGAAGCUACGUGGGAAGCGGAAGAGGAUAUGAAGUCUAAGUAUCCGUUCUUAUUUUCUGCUCUUGGUAUUCGUGCGGAAGGUAUGUGUUCUUAAACAUAUCUUUAUUUUCUGAGUUUAUUAAAGAAAAGAUAAACGUCUUUACCUCUUUGGUUUCAAACUUUGGUAAAGAGAUGUUUGAUAAUGCAAAUGACUCUAUGUGUGGUUACCCUUACCUUAUCCAUCAUUCGGGGACGAAUGUUCCUAGUGGAGGAGCAUGUUAUAUCCUGGGUUUUAGCCAUAGAAAUUUUCUUUGAAAUACGUUCUCUGUUCCCAACAUGACUCCAGGGUACGAGCCGUAUGCUGGGGUACGAGUAGUAUGGUCUUAUCGUAAGCUGACCAGUGUUAGUUGAUGGGAUAAUUUUGAUCACUAAAAUGGUCAUGACUUAGGGAUGCGAUUCAUAAGGAUUGAUACGAAUAGUAUCAGUGACUCGUAUGGUGGGCAGUGUUUGAAAUUUUUGGUAAUUCAUUCUGCCAGGGAUAUGGAUCAUGGGUAUGGAUCAUAUUCUAAGGUUACGGCUUGGUUGGAUGAGUUGUAUGCUGGACAGUGUCUGAUCCAAAGGUUAGGACCUAUGUACGACUAGUGAAAACUAAUUGUAAGGAAGGGUACAACUCAUAAGAGGGUCAAUCGUAUCCCUGUGAUGGGUUUUUGAGGGACUUGAGUAAGGGUAUUCUGGAUAUUUCCCAACUUACCCUAAUCAUGACCCACUACUCUAAUACACUUAGGAUGUUAUUUACCCUAUUAUUCUAUUCAUUAACACUUUGAAAACUAUUCCAAAACACGUCAUAAUUCUCUCAAGAAUUUUUGGGGUAAGAGAGCUAAGGUUUUAAUUUAGGGAUUGCUUUGGGGCUUGCUUUGGAGAUUUUCUUCCAUCAUCUUUCUCGUCUUAAGGUAUGUCUCUCUUCCCUACUCCUUACUUCUAAAAAGGCAUGAAUUUUGUGGAUGUUUUCAUGGUUUUAAUGUUGCAUGGUUUAUGGUUUUCAACUAUUAGUUGGGGGUUUUGUUUAUAAUUGCUUGGUUAUGGGUUCCUAUGGUUUAAUUAUCCUUUUAUAUGCAUCAAUGAUGGUUUGGGGUAAUUGAUUUUCCAUGUAAUGGUUUAAUGGCCCUUGGAAUUAGUUUUGGUUAUAAUAUGCCCCCAAGGUGUUUGAUAAAAUGCUUAUAAAGAUAUGUUUAUGGCACUAACUUCUUUAAAUGGAACUCUUGUUUUCAGCUUAUAUAGUAAACAAUAAACAGUUUGAAUGGACUACAAAGGUUAGAGUAUAAUUGGUUAUACUUUUUGAGAACAAGAAAGUCUCCUAAAAGGUUAAUAUGGUAAACAAAAAUGGCACUUGAGAGUCCCCUUAACCUAAAUGGUUUGGCUAUGGAUAAAUCUUGCAAGUACGGUUGGUAUAACAAUACCACUAAUAAUUUUCCUUGGUAAUAAAUGGUGAUUAUUUUGUUUGAAGAUGGUUUUAAUUUGGGAAUUAAUGGAAGGAUGUGUAACUAAGCCGUUAAGGUUGGAGGUUCUUAGGGGACAAAAAUUGGAAACUCAUAUUUUCCAAUAUUAGGGGUCUUCCAUGACCACGUGCGAGUUUCACAUUUUAUAUUGGAGGGAUGUACUAGUAAUCCCAGGUUAUAUUUCCUGGUCAUGUGUCUACACGCACUGGGACUCUUUCGGAAGGGGUAGAUGAACCCAUAUGGCCAAUGGGUAUGGUAAAAUGGUUAGGUUACACAACCCAGGUUAAAGGUUUUAAAAGCAUGCUAAACACGGAUUCCCUUUCUCGACACAUAUAUAUGUAUGGUUGUAUGUAUCAUGGAUGGUUUACUUGGUUGUUUAAAUGGCAUUCCUUUAUCCUUACUUGAGGUACAUGCUAGCAGUCACUCGCUAACCCGUCUAUUUGCGAUUGUAUACCCACUUUAUGCAAAAAUCAGCUGUUUGACUCCUCCUACAUAGUAAUUGCCUCGGGGAUAGUAUUUGGAUUAAAGUGGUAAGCUUCCAUCUAUCCAAAAGGAUCUACUUCAUGAUAUGGACAUUCUUAGAUAUUUUUCUUUUGUUUUGGAUACUGGUUUUGGCCAUGGUUGGGGACAUGUCCCAACCAGAUAUAUUUAUUCAUUUGGAUAGAGGCUUUGUGGUAUUUCUAGGGGGUUGGUAUGGGUAGGAUCGGUACUGGUGUUGGCCUUAGCAUUGGCAUUGGUGUUGAAGCUGACAUUAUAGGACAAUAUUAUUGGUUGUUCCAUUGUAGUAUAUUUUGUGUUUGAUUAUCAUAUUAUGUUUUCAUAUUCUCCUUGGUUUGGUAUGGUAUGGAUUGUUGGUUUGGUGCUGGGAGACUCAGUUGGGUCGGUCAUAGUUGUGACCCAAUCCCAGAGUCUUCAUGAGAGAAUUUUUGAAAUCUUGUUAUAUGCUCAAAAUUCACCUCAUCUAAGGUUGUAGAAGGUGGUUGGGUUAUGUUAAGUGGGCGUUCCCUGGUCCUGGUUGGACUUGGGAUACCCAUUAUGUCUAGGCCCUGGUUCGGUUCAUGAUAAGUUUGUAUGAGAGCUUUAGGUUCAUGGUUAACUGGGAUGUCCACAAAUCCAUAUUUUGUAGAGCUUUUUCUAGGGAUGUGAAGCAUGCCACACUCAUCAGAGAGAGGUUGCGAGAAAUUUAGGAAUGUUUCACUUUCUUGAAAUUCUCAGUCCCUGAAUCUUCUCUAAUCCUUGGUUGUUUGUCUUUCAGAUCACGCCUCCUAGAUCUACAACACAAGAAAAUCUUCCAUACCAUUUGGGGAUACUAUUGAAGGGGUACCUCCUACAUUUGGGGUAUAUCUUCGAUCUCAUGGUUCUAUUCCUAAUUGUGCUGGAGUUUCUCUUAUUCCUCCUACUACUCUAGGUCCCUUAAGGUAACAUGACAAAUGCAGAGUUUUGUCAGUCUAUUAAUGUCAUUACUCAUAUGGUCAAUGCUCAGGCUGAGCGAGGCACAACUAGUGCUUUUUCAAUUGAGGCCAUACGUAUUGGUCAAUUUAUGAAGAUAGGUCCUCCCACUUUUAUGGGAGUGAAUGUGGUGGAAAACCCAUAGGGCUUCUUAGAUGAACUAGAGAAGAUAUUUUGGGUUAUACAGGCUUCUUAUAUAGAGAAAGUUAUCUUUAUGACUUAUAAGCUCAAAUAUGUUGUUUAUCAGUGGUAUGAGGAGUGGGAAAGAGAUAAGGGUGAUAUGGAAGAUGAAGGGUUGUACGUGAGCUUUUCUAAUGUCUUCAUGGAUCAUUUAUUUGAUCAAGAGUUGAGGCAAGCUAAGAAGGAGGAGUUUGUGAAACUCAGGUAAGGAAAGAUGUCUGUGAAGGAAUAUGCCUUGAAGUUUCAUCAGUUAUCAAGGUAUGCUCCUGAUUUAGUGGUUGAUAUGAUAUCAAGAAUCAGGAAGUUCAUUUUUAGGUUGAAUAGAGAUUUCAUUUUAGAGAGCAAGACUGCUUUGCUCAUUAGGGAUAUGGACAUAUCUAGGUUGACUGCCCAUAUGCAGUAGGUUGAGGAUGAUAAGGGAAAAAAUGCAGAAUUUAGGGAUAGGCAGGAAAAGCGAGGCACAUUUUUUUAUCAGGGAGGUGCUCAGUCUCAAGGUGGUAGAGAUUAUGGCAAGUGGUAGAAAAAGAAGGGGGGAGGUCUAGUUUCUUUUCUGCUACCAGUGCUCCUUACCCAUAGAAGUUGGGCAACAAGCAUCACCAAGGUGGUGAUAAUUCUUGAGCUUAGGUUGCCCAAUCUUAGAUAAGUAGAGGUCAGUCCAUUUCUUCAUGCCCUCCUAGUCGAUUCUGCAGUCAUCCUUAUUAGGAAUUUUAUGAAAAAGGUAGAGAUAAGUUCUUUAAGUGUGGUUAGGUAGGCCAUCAGCUCAAGAAUUGUCCAGUCAAGAAGGUUGCUACAGUGGCAAAUAAUAUUUUGGUGGCUUCAUCUUCUUCUUCUACACCUGUUGGUUUGGCAUCUGCUUCUGUUACUGCUCCUAGUUCUAGUAUUGGUCAGAAUAGGUUGUAUGCUUUGGCGUCCCGGUAGGAAUCCAAGGCAUCACCUGAUGUUGUUACUGGUAUGUUACAACUCUUUUCCUGUGAUGUAUAUUGUUUGCUUGAUUUGGGAUCCACUCUUUAUUAUGUGACUCCCUAUAUAGUUGUUUCUUUUGGUUUUGAUCCAAGAAUUAUUUAGAUCCAUUUUCUAUUUCUAACCUAAUAGGAGACUCAGUCACUGUUGAACGGGUCUAUAGGGGUGGUGUGGUAUCUGUUGGUGAUAGGAAAACCUUGGUAGAUCUAUUUGAGUUGGUAAUAGUGGAUUUCAAUGUGAUUUUAGGUAUACACUGGUUGUAUUCUUAUUAUGCGUCUUUAGACUGUCAGACUCAUAAGGUCAUCUUUUGGUUCCCUUAUGAGCGAGAAAUAGAAUGGGAGGGUUGUUCUUUAGCUCCUAGGGGGAGAUUUAUUUCUUAUCUUAGAGCUUAAAUGUUAAUCUCAAAAGGGUGUCUUCAUCACUUGGUCUGGGUUAAAGAUUCCAACUCGGAAGGUCCUUCUUUACAGUCAGUUCUAGUAGUUAAUGAGUUUCUAGAGGUCUUUUUAAAUGAUCUUCCUGGUGUUUCUCUGAAAAGGGAAAUAGAUCUUGGUAUUAAUUUUCUUCCGGUCACUCAUCCAAUAUAUAUUCCUCCGUAUAUAAUGUCUACGCUGAGUUAAGAGAACUCAAGGAACAAAUAAAGAAUCUUCUAGAUAAGAGGUUUAUUCGUCCUAGUGUUUCUACAUAGGGUUCACCAAUUUUGUUUGUGUGCAAGAAGGAUGGUUCCCUUUGGAUGUGCAUUGACUACAUGCAGUUGAACAAGGUAACGGUCAAGAAUAAGUAUUCUCUUCUAAGAAUAGAUGAUCAGUUUGAUCAGUUACAAGGUGCCAAGUUCCUUUAUAAGAUAGAUCUUCAUUCUGGGUACCAUUAUCUUAAGAUUAGGGAGGUGGAUAUCCCAAAGACAGCUUUUCAUACUCAGUAUAAUCAUUUUGAGUUCUUGGUGAUAUCAUUUGGGUUGACCAAUGCUCUGGCAGCAUUUAUGGAUUUGAUAAACAGGGUGUUCAGGUAGUAUUUGGAUGUCUAUGUCAUUGUGUUUAUUAGUGACAUUCUGAUGUAUUCCAGGAGUGAGGUGGAUCAUGCUAAUCACCUCUGUGUGGUGUUUCAUACCUUACAAAAACAACAGUUGUUUGCCAAGUUCUCUAAGUGUGAGUUUUAGUUGAAUGCCGUGACUUUCUUAAGUCAUAUUAUUUCUAGUGAGGGGAUAAUGGUUGAUCCUCAAAACGUUGUUACAGUGAAGGGGUAGCCUAGGCCCACUACUCCAUCUUAUAUUCGGAGCUUCAUGGGUUUAACCGGGUAUUAUAGGUGGUUUGUGGAAAGCAUCUCGUCGAUACCUUCUCCUUUAACUAAGUUAAUUCAGUAGAAGGUUAAUUUUUCUUGGUUAGAUGCUUGUGAGGGGAGUUUUGAGAAAUUAAAGGAUAGGUUGACUUCGGCUCUAAUUUUGACUUUGUCAGAAGGCAAUAAUGGAUUUGUGGUUUAUUGUGAUGCAUAUCUGGUAGGGCUUGGUUGUGUUUUGAUGAAUCACGAAAAGGUGAUUCCCUAUGCUUCUAGGCAGUUGAAGGUAUAUGAGAGGAAUUAUACUACUCAUGAUUUGGAGUUGUUGGCGGUCGUGUUUGCUUUGAAGAUACGACGGCAUUAUCAUGUUGUUCAUGUAGAUAUUUUUUCAGAUCAUAAGAAUCUUCUGUAUGUGUUCACUUAGAAGGAGCUUAAUCUUAGUCAAAGGAGAUGGCUUGAUAUUCUUAAGGAUUAUGAUAUGAGUUUUCACUACCACCCAGGUAAGGCUAACGUGGUUGCUGAUGCUUUUAACAGGUUGUCUAUUGGAUGUUGGCUCAUGUGGAGGAAAGAAAAUAGGAAUUGGUGAAGGAUAUUCACCGUUUGGUAAAUCUUGGAGUUCGUCUCUUGGAUUCCAAAAAUGGUGGUGUGAUGGAGUAAGAAGUAGUUCGAUCGUCACUUGGUGUAGAGAUUAAUGAGAAGCAAGUGUUGGAUCUGAUCUUGAUUAAAAUCAAUAGUAGUGUCGGUGGGCAGAAGGUUGUGGUGUUUGAGAUUAGUGGUGAUGGUACUUUGCAGUACCAAGGAAGGUUGUGUGUUUCGAAUGUUAAAGGGUUGCGACAGGAUUUUGGCUGAGGCGCAUGAGUCGUGCUAUGUCAUCCAUCCUGGUUUGACAAAGAUAUAUCAUGAUCUUAAGGAGAUCUAAUGGUGGAAUGGUAUAAAGUAGACGUGGUUGAGUUUGUGGCCAAGUGCAUGGUGUGUCAACAGGUUAAGGUUGAGCACAUGAGGCCUGGUGGGUUGCACCAAGAUACAGAGUUUUUGGAAUGGAAAUAGGAGAUAAUCAAUAUGGAUUUUGUUACCUGUCUUUCUUAGUCUCAUAACUAAUUUGGUUCAGUUUAGGUCAUCGUGGAUAGGAUGACUAAGCCUGCUCAUUUUUUGCCAAUGAGGACUAUCAUUUAAGCGGAAGAUGAUUCAAAGUUUAUCUUCAAGAGAUUGUGAAGCUGUAUGGGGUACCUGUUUAAAUUAUUUUUUUUCAUGGUACACAGUUUACAUCUUAUUUCUAGUGGUCUUUCCAAAAAGGAUUGGGGACUAAGGUUAGUUUGAGUAUGACUUUUUAUCCGCAGUCAGAUGGGCAAGGAGGAAGAAUGAUUCAUACAUUGGAGGACGUGCUUCGGGCAUACGUGAUUGAUUAUGGUGACAAUUCGGUUAAGCAUCUACCUUUGGUAGAGUUUGCUUACAACAAUAGUUAUCAUUCUAGUAUUGGUAUGGCUCCUUUCGAGGCAUUGUAUUGUAGGAGGUAUAGAUCUUCUAUUGGAUUGUUUAUCUUGGUAGGGUGGAUAUGUUUGGUACCGAUUAGGUCUAUAAAGCUAUGAAGAAGGUGAAGGUGAUUUAGGAUAGGUUAAAAGCUACCCAGAGUUACCAAAAGUCUUAUGCGGAUGUUAGGCGUAGAGAUUUGCAGUUUGAGGAUUGGGACAGGAUGUUACUAAAGGUAUCUCCAAUGAAGGGAGUAGUGUGGUUUUUCAAGAAUGGGAAGUUUAGUCCUCGGUUUAUUAGUCCUUAUGUGAUUUCCCAGAGAGUUGGUAAUGUUGCUUAUGAGUUGGAUUUGCCAUCUAGUUUGGGUUUGCCUCAUCCAAUUUUUCAUAUUUCCAUGUUGAGGAAGUACAUUGGUGAUCCUUCUUUGGUUGUUCCUUUGGAAGGUUGGAUUUCUCAAAUUCUCUAUCUUAUGAAAAGGUCCCGGUUGAGAUAUUGGAUAGGCAAGUUUAUCGGUUGCAGACCAAGUUUAUGGCUUCGGUUAAGGUACUGUGGUGGAACCAUAAGGUGGAAGAAGUUACGUGGGAAGUAGAAAAGGAUAUGAAGUCCAAGUAUCCAUUCUUGUUUUCUUCUUCUGGUAUUCGUGCAGAAGAUAUGUGUUCUUGAACAUAUCUUUAUUUUCUGAGUUUGGUAAAGAAAAGAAUAACAUCUUUGCCUCUUUGUUUUCAAAGUUUGUAAAAGGGGUGUUUGAUAAUGCAAAUGACUCUGUGUGUGGUUACCCCUACCUUAUCCGUCAUUCAGGGAUAAGGUAGGGGUAACCACACACAGAGUCAUUGGAUUUUUAGCCUUAGAAAUUUUCCUUGAAAUCCAUUCUACGGUCCCAAUAUAACUCUAGGGAACUAGCCGUAUGUUGUAGUACGAGUGGUAUGUCCUUGUCGUAAGUUGUCUAGUGUUAGUUGGUGGGGUUGUUUUGAUCACUGGAAUGGUCACGAUGUAGGGUUGUGAGUCAUAAGGAUUAAUACGAGUCGUAUUGGUGACUCAUAUAGUGAGCAGUGUUUGAUCCUCCUAGUAAUUCAUUCUUCCAGGGAUAUAGAUCAUACGUAUGGAUCGUAUGCUGAGGUUACGACUUGGUUGGAUGAGUCGUAUCUUGCACAAUGACUGAUCCAAAUGCUAUGGCCUAGGUACGACUGGUGGAAAUCAAUUAUAAGGAAGGGUAUGACUCGUAAGAGGGUCAGUCGUAUCCCUGUGAUGAGUUUUUAACGGACUUUAGUGAGGGUAUUCUGGACAUUUCCCUACUUACCCUAAUUAUGACCCACGACUUCUAAUACACUUAUGAGGUUAUUUACCCUAUUAUUCUAUUCAUUAACACUUCGAAAGCUAUUUCAAAACACAUCAUAAUUCUCUUAAGAGCUUUUGGGGGAAGAGAGUUAGGGUUUCAACUUAGGGAUUGCUUUGGGGCUUGCUUUGGUGAUUUUCUUCAAUCAUAUUUCUCAGUUUAAGAUAUGUGUCUCUUUCCUACUUCUUACUUCUAAAAAAGCAUGAAUUUUAUGGAUGUUUUCAUGGUUUCAAUGUUUCAUGGUUUAUGGUUUUCAACUAUUAAUUGGGGGUUUUGUUUAUAAUAUCUUUGUUAUGGUUUUCUAUUGUUUAAUUAUGCUUUUAUAUGCAUCCGUAAAGGUUUGGGGAAAUUGGUUUGCAUGGUAAUGUUUUAAUGUCCUUUGGAAUUGGUUUUGGUUAUAUUAUUCCCCCAAGGUGUUUGAUAAAAUGCUUAUAAAGAUAUAGUCAUUGCAUUGACUUCUUUAAAUGGAACUCUUGCUUGUUUUCAACUUAUAUAUGAAACUAUAAAUAGUUUGAAUGGAUUACAAAGGUAAAAGGCUAAUUGGUUAUGCUUGUGGAGAACACGGAAGUCUCCCAAGAGGUUAAUGUGGUAAACGGAAAGGGCACUUGAAAGUCCCCUUAACCCAUAUAGUUUGGCUAUGAAUAAAUCUUGCAAGUACGGUUGGUAUGAUGAUACCACUAAUAAUUGGCCUUGAUAAUAAUUGGUAAUGGGACUGUUUGGACAUGGUUUUAAUUUUGGCAUUAAUGGCGGGAUGUGUAACUAAGCCAUGAAAGAUGGAGGUUUCGGGGGGACUGAAACUGGAAACUCAUAUUUGCCAAUUGAGAGGUAUUCAAUGACUAUGUGCGAGUGUCAUGUUUUAUAUUGGAGGGAUGUACUAGUCAUCCCAAUGGAUAUUCCCUAGUCGUGCGGCUACACGCACUAGGAAUCUUUCAAUCAAGAUAGUUGAACCCAUACGGCCCAUGGGUGUGGUUAAACGGCAAGGUUAUACAGCCCAGGUUAAAGGUUUUAAAUACAUGCUAAACACAGAUUCUCUUUCCCAGAACUUAUAUAUGUGUAUGGUCCAAUACCAAUAACAAUGCCAAAGUUGACACCAAUACCGACACCGCCCAUUCCCAUAGUUGUCACACAAGCCUCUGAAUAAAAUUCAAGAACAUCCGAUCAGGACAUGGCGCCGACCAAAGCCAUAACCAAAGUCUAAGGAAGAAACAAAAGUAUGAAAAGAAGUCCAUUGCAUGAAAUAAAGUCUUUCAGAGUAUGGAAGCUCACUACUUCAGUCCAACAUAAAGAAAUUCCCGAAUCCAAGAUCAUAGAGCAAGAGUAGUAUGGUCGGUUCCUACAUUGUGUGGAGAUACAGAGCCCGAAGAUGGGUUAGCGGGUGAACACUAGCAUAUACCCAGGAGUAAGGAUAAAAUAAUGCCAUUUAUCAAAAAAAUAGUAAAUAAACAUAUGCAAUCAUAUACAUACAUAUAUAUAACAUGCCGGUAAAGGGAACCAGGUUUAGCAUACAUUUAAAACCUUUAACCUAGGAUUGUGUAGCUCUGCCGUCCUAAAUUACCCAUAGGCUAUAUGGGUUCUGCUCCCCCUGUUGAAAGGUUCCCGGCGUGUGUUAGCCACGCGAUCCAGCUAAAAACCUAAGGUGACUAGUAUAUCUCCCAACAUAUAAGUGUGACAUAAUGCACAAGGUCACCAAGACCAUCCUAACAGCGGCUAACAUGAGUUUCCAAUUUUUGUACCCCCGGGACCACCACCUUCCAAAACUUUGUCAACACAUCCCUCUUUAAGCCCAUAUUAAAACCAUUUACACAUAAUUAACUAUUUACUAAGAAUUCUUAUUUAUUAGGCAUUAACCAUUGGUAUCGUCUUGCCAAAACUAGAGCUUGGAAGUCUAUCCAUUUAUGCCAUACCAAAGCCAUUAAACAAUUUGAUUCCAAAGUUUCCAUCUAAACUAGUACCAUGGCCACCAAUUCCUUUCCAAUCCAUUUAAAACCAUUUAAACCAAUUUAGGUUACAUUACCCUUUUAUGCAAUGCAAGGAUUUCAAUAAUAGUCAAACUAUGUGAUAAAAGCAUUCUCAUUGGCAUUUUAACAAACAUGUUGAGGGAAUAUAGUUUGAAAAUCCAAAACCAAGUAUCAAUUGACCAUUCUCAUUCAAUCACAUGUUAAAAUCAUAAUUACAACAUAAAAACCAUAAGUAAAACAUGGGAAAACACGAUCCAACCAAGAAAAACAAAAACCCCAACAUAUAUUUCAAAACCCACAAAUAAUACAUCACAAUUCCAUGAAAAUCAUUUGUUAAAACAUGAUUUUAGUUGAACUAACAAUGAGGGAGGAGUAACAUUCCUUAGACAAUAAGGAAAAUGGAGAGAAACCACCCCUCUAAAGCCUUAAUUGAUUGUCUUAAAGAAAACCGUAGCAUUUCUUGAACCAAGAGCUUGAGAGAGAUUUGAGAGUGUUUAGAGAGUAUUUAAUUAUGAAUAAUAGGUUAAUAAUUCCUCUAAAGGUGUUUUAUAAUGUGGGUUCAAAAGGAGUUAAUAGGGUAAAUGUCCAGAAUACCCCCAACUUAAACUGUUAAAAUUCAGUAAGUUGGUAUGGUUAGACCCCUCAAAUUGUAUCCAUACCAUAAGAGUGGUACCCCCUCCUCGUAUAUUGAUGAAAAAAUUAGAUACCACAUUCUUUCCAAUAUACGAGUCCUCAGCUUAACCGUACCAUCACAUAUGACAAGUACCCUUCAAGUCAUACCCUAAGUAGAAUAUCAAGGCUAGAAACUGGACAACAUAUGGUUGGGCACUAUACUUCUUGUAUCAUAAACAUAUGACUCAUUACCACUAACCCAUAACACAAUAUAAUCCCAACCACCAGACACUGGACACCUUAUGAAUUGGGUCGCCUGUCCCUACUCACUCAUACGACUAGUAUGGUGAGUUAUAUGAUGACCAUAAAGCUUAAGACUCAAGGAAUUAUAAGGGAAAAAACCCAGGGUGUUUCAUGAAACACCCCAUAUUGUGAACCUUGAAAAUUCCUUGAGCUUUGAGCUUACUUCCCUGGUUACGAUUGAACCCUAUGAUGCGUAGGGUGUCCUGACGAGUCAUUGGGAUAAGUCAUAACAAAACCAGUAAGUCUGUGGCUAGAUUAAGCUGUGAGUAUAAGUUUCUCACAAAGAUCCACAAGGAUAUAUUAUGAGUGGUUAGGUGUAAUCAUAGGGUGUCUAGUGUAAGUGCCAAUUUGAGUUUUGUGUUAAUUAUGACUGGACCCUACAAGUCAUAUGGUGCCAUUACGAGUGGUUUCAUAAGUCGUAAGGAUAAUAGUGUUGGGUUCCUUGGGGUACUUCCUUUGUUACAACUCCUAAUGAUGAGUCGUAAGGAGUGAUAACGAGUCACGGGGUUGACCCAUAGUCAAAGGAGGCACUUUUAAGCUUUAAAGUUUAGGGUAUUCUAGACAUUUUACCUCUUACUCAACUUGAAACCCAUAUCUUAUAACCUCAUUAGGGUGUAAUUAGCACUCAAAAACACAUCAAGUAACUUCUUAACACUCUUAAAUUCCUCAAGGUAAAAAACACUUAGGGUUUUCAAGAGGUUGAUCAAUUAAGGCUUUCAACGAUGAUUUCUCUCCUUACAUCUAACUAUUUCAAGCAUGUUCCUGCCUCAUUAUUAAUUUAUUAAAGAGCAUAUGUAUUAAAGUGUUAUUCACAUAAAAUUAUUUUGGAUUUGAAACAAGGGUUGUGGGUUUUGAAUACUUGUUAUUGAAUAAUAUUUUCCCUUAAUUUAAUUAUUAUUAUUUAUGCUUUAAAUAUGGUUUUGAACUUGUGGGUGCAUGAGUAUGGUGGAUUAAUUAGGGAAUUGUGAUUUUCCCAAACUUGUGACUUUUGAAUGGUUAUGACCCUAACCCAUAGUGUGAAACUAGUUUUUUUGAGUUGUGAAAAGGUAAGAAUUUAUAAAUUGAACUAGUCUUGAACUAUUGCAUGAUAUAAAAAGGUAUUUGAAAUACAAUGGUAUGAUUUAAUAAUUAAAGAGAGUCGAUGUCCCCUCACCUUAUAUUAAUAAACAAAUAAAGUUGUCCUCCCCAAGUUAAUCGAAGUUGUUUUGGCAUGAUGUAUUACCUUGCAAGUAUAGUUUGAAUGAAGAUACCAAUAAUGUAUGCCUUAAUGUUAAGUGUGGUUUAUGAUUUGGAUUGUGUGAUAAAUGCUUUAAUUAGGCUCUAAUAAGGGUUGUGCAGAUAAGUCAUGAAAGUGGAGAUCCAGGUGGCCGAAACUUGAUACAUUAGCCGACGCGGGGGUCAACAUGACCAGUGAGGUUCCAAUCCCCUUUAUUAUUGUGUUAUGAUUUGGGAGGCUCAAUUUCCCUAUAAGUCAUUAUAUAAUCGAGUUCUUAAGUUGCCUUAGUAUAUAUUUAAAGGUUUGAGUCCCCCGUGUGCAUAUAUAUGAGAUUAUUCUCUGGUUUAUGUGGCUACACGCACUAGGGCCUGAUCAGGAAGUGAGAGUUGGGUCCUAUAUAGCUCGUGGUUACUAUUAUAUGAUGGUUGAGCUACAAAAUCAAGGAAAAGUUUUAAAACACAUUUUAAGACUUGUUCCCUAUCCCGAUAUAUGACACAUACAUGCAUAGAUACAUACAUAUAUAUAUAUAUAUUCUUUUGACUAUGUGCAUUAGUUUUUUAAUGAUUUUAAAUUAUUGACCAUGCCAUUAUGUUAUCCUUAUCCCCGAGUUACAUGCUAGUGUUCACCCUGAUAAUCAUCUUCGGACGUUGUAUCCCCAUAUGAUGCAGGAAUUGGCUCUAUUUAUCUUACUCUGUGACUUGGAUUCAAGAUCAGAUAGCAAGUCAGUUUAAAGUGGUGAGCUUUCAUACUUUAGAAGGCCUCAUUUCAUGAUUAUCAUUUCUUUCACAUUUUGACUAUUCCUUUGGAUUUGGUAUUUGGCUAUUGUUGAGGGCAUGUACCCACACCUUACUAAUAUUUAGAUUUUAAUCAUUGUUUAGAAGACUUUGUUUUGACUUCUGCGGUUAUUGGGUGGUGUCGGUGGUUGUUUGGUUGGUUGUUAGUGGUUGUUUGGUUGGUUGUCGGUGGUUGGUUAUGGAUAUACAUUAAAAUUUUCUUAAGCUAUUGCACACUAUUUUGUUAUAUGUUAAGAAUUCAUCCGACUUUAGGUGUGUUGUUUUGGGGUUAGUUAGGAACAGGGGGUGAUCUCUGGUCCAUGUGGGACUUGAGAUACUCGACAUAGCCAGGCCCUGGUUCAGGUCAUGUCAGGUCUGAAAUUGGAUUGAGGGCUCUUUGAUGAUUAUCAGUUAAAUUUUAUUUCCCAUAGUUUAAAUGUCUCGUGUAUAUAUAUAUUGAUAAUAUUUGCGAUUGAAUGGGUGCAUUAUUAUGGAAUAUAGAAUGGGAAAUGUGGACUUUCCUAAAUUGAUGGAUUUUGGCUUUGUAAUGGCAUUAACCUCAACCCAACUGCAUGAUUUUGGUUUUAAAUGUGUAAUUUGUAUGAUUCAACUCACUUUUGAAAAUGUUGCAUUACAUUAAUGGAAAAAUGGAUAAAAUUGAUUUGAAAGGACUUGAUGGCCAUGGUUUUGGACUUUUAAAAGGGACUUGGGAGUCAAUUUGAUAAUUGGAAUGGACUGGCAUGAUAAUAUAAGCCUACAAGCAUAAUUGGUAUGACAAUACCAAGUGGUAAAUUCCUUAAAAUAAGACUCCUUGGUUUAUGGAUAGGAUUACAUGCAAAAUAGUUUUAAUUUAGGUUUAAAGGAGGUUAUGUAGCUCACGGUGAAGGUGGAGGUCCCGAAAGGACCAAUAUUGUAAACCAUGUUUGUCGACGUAGGGGUCUAUAUAAUUGUGUGCUUGGUUCAAACAUUAUAUUUUUGGGAUAGCUGGUGUCUUGGUGUCUCAGUGUAACACCCCACAUUUUUGAGCUAGAAAUUAAACCAUCAUUGCUACAUGUGUAAACCCUAAUCCCAUGAUUUGUAUUUGAACAUAUGUUUCAUGAACAUUAUCCUAGUGUUAAUAAUGCUUUUAAGGUGAAAAUUUUUCAUAAGAAUCACUUAGAGCAAAGUUGAUCUAGGAGCCUUUGAUUCGGCCAAAUUUUGGUGUUUGAUUCCGAAAGGGUCAGAUUUGAACGUGUAUAACUUCAUUCAUAAGUUGGCUUGUGUAAUUUCUGUGUGUUGCAUGGUGAUUUCAUAGUGCCAAAAGUGCUCCAUUUUGACUUAAAUCAAGAGCAUUAAAGUCUUUUCACACCCCUAAACCAUCCCUAAUCACUCCUAAUCGAUGUAAGGGGUCUUUAAAUGUAUAAAUUCCACUCUCUUAACCCCAACCAUUCAAGCCAUGAUUCAAAAUCCCUUCUUCUCUCGCAAGAAUAAAAUCCAAGCCCUUUUCUCAAGGAAUCAAGAAUUCAAGAUUCCAACUUCAAGAAACCAUCUACUAAGGUAUGUGGGGUUUUGAACAAGGUUAAUCUUUCAACCUUGUGCCCAAAUGUAUAUUUCAAGUUGAAUUUAUAUAUUUUAUGUUAGGGUUCAUUCCCAAAUCUUAGUGUGUUGAAAGCAUAGCAUUAUCAUGUGAUUUAAGAGACUAAAGUGCAUAAGAGUUGUACUUAUUCAUGUUUUAUACAACAAGGUUGAUAUUUUGUUUUGAAUUUCAUUACUUUGAUUAAAGUAUUAAGUUUUUCCUUCGUUAUGGGAUUUCAAAGGUUUAAGGUGAGUUUGAUUUAUUUUCUCCUUAGUAGUUUGAACUCAAUUCAUGUCCUUGUAUGAUUCCAUUGAAAGUUAUGCUAUCGCAUGCUUUAAGUUUCUAUUUCCUAUGUCCUAUUCAAGUGAAUUUCAUGUUAUAAUAUCGAAUUAUAAGCUUAUCCAUGUAAUCAUGUUGUUUACUUAUGUUUAAUGCAUUCCCAUUUUCAAGCUCAUGCUCUUCACUUACUUGGUGAGAUGCUUAUGUUUUGGAUCAUCGAACCAUAAUUUCCAUACAACAGUUUUAAGUGCUAAUAUUAUAUUUUAUGAAUCAUUCAAUGCUGGAGGGUUAUGAACACCCGAUACCUAUGUGAUUUACAUGAUUUCAAAUUUUCAAGUAACAAGUCAGUCAGAACCAUGAUUUUAUUCCCAUACUCAGAUUAUCAUUUUUAUAAUGAACCCACAAGUAUUAUUUUAUGUUUAAUACCUCAGAUUACAAGUUCAUGCCUACUUCAGAUUAUGCAUGCACUAUCAGUUUUCAAAAUACCAUAUUGAGCAUAUCAGUCUUUAGUUCAUGCACCAAUUAAUGAUUUUAGUGUCAGUUUAGUUGAGAGUAGGACAUAGCACAAAGCGAACCAAGGGGUAGGGGAUCACCUGCCAUUACAGGGUGUGACCCUUAGUAUCAAUCCCUGAGUUACAGAACUACAUAGUUAGCGUAGGUUUGAGAUGUCUACCUGCCAGUCGUGGGUUAACGUAUAUCUCAUGAGAGUACCUGCCAGGAGUGGGUGACUCUUUAGUCCUUUGGGACACCAGUUUAGUGGAUCCACAUAGCUAGUAUUAGUACCCGUGGCACUGUACUGACUCCCUUCCAACUAGGGUUAUAGGUUGGACUUCGAUUAGCUCAAAUUGGGUCAUGUCUUUUACAUUAUACCCCCCACAGUUUUAGUCUAAUUACUUAGACUAAGUACAGUUCAUUAUUAUAUGAUCAACAUUCAGAUAUCAGUUAAUCAGUACACAGAUAUCAGUUAAUCAGUAUUCAGAUGUGAGCCGAUCAUUAUUCGAAUAUCAGUUAUUCAGUAUUCAAUCAUUAGUUAUUCAGUAUUAGUAAAUCAGUUAGCCCAUAUUCUGAUGUGUGAAAAGACGCUAACACAUUUGAGGCUUUUAACUCAAAAUGAUUGCAAGGUCUUAAGCAACUUUUAUUGUUUUUUUAUUAUUUUAUCUUUGAUUUUGCAGUAGAAGCUAAGUUACAAGAGAACCAACAAGGAUGGAAGCAAAAGAGUUGAAAUUUAAAGCAAAUAGAAGAGAAGUGUGGCUGACGACAUUCCUGAUAAGUUUCCAGCCCUAUGAUAAGUUAUCAAAAAUACUAGCAGCCUUAGACAGAGAAUGGGCCUCAGCUAAAAUUUGUGAUGACAUUUCCGGAAAAGUCAUCAAGAAGUUGAUAAGUCAUCAUAGAGGCCGUCAGCCUUAGGUAGAACAUGUGAGCUGAGGUAGAGAAGUGACGACAUUUUCUAAUAUGUCAUCACACUUCUGAUAAGUUGUUAGGAUUCAUCGUCAUCCUUAAGCAGGAAGUGCUAAAACUGAAAAGGGAGCUGACGACAUUUGUGAUAAGUCGCCAAACUCCUGAUAACGUAUCAUGAAUGUCAUCUCCUAAUUUGAGGAAUUAUUAAACUCUUUGAUUUUGUUUCCUUAUUUAGGCUUAAAUAUUUAAAGCACAGUUUAGGGUUUUCUAAGGGAGUGGGGGAAUAUAUUUGGAUAUACGUAUUUUGUUGCUUUUCUCUCUAGUUUCUUGGCUUGAAAAACAAUUAACUUCGAAGAGAUUUUCAUCAAUAUUUUGGGAUUUCUAUUGUGAUCUAAUCUGAGAAUCACUAGUUAUUAUUCAUCUUGUGGUAAUUUCAUCUUUCAAUAUUAUGAUUACAACUAGUUGUUUCGACUAUUACAUCAGGAGUGGCUAAACCCCUUUAACCCAAAUUGUGGGAUCUGUGGGUUAAGUCUUGGUAAAAUGCUAAGUGUUUAUGAUUUUAAAGGUAAUAGGACUCCUUGAUAAUUGUUAGAUUUUAAUCAUUGUCUAGUGGUUGUAAAUGAUAGAUAGUACCUACUUUGAUUUGCUUGAGAUAAGAAAUCAAAUGCAGUAGAAAGUGAAUUAUUGACAGGGACUUGGAAGCACUAAACUUCCAUUUAAUAAUUGACGUUGUAAUAAGGUUGAUUAACCUGAGGUAAAGUCUGGUCUGUGAAUAUAAAUUUCCUAAGUCUGAGAGGAUUAGAAAAUUAAAUGCUUAAGUAGGUUGAGAGACAUUUAGGCAUAACUUCGAUAAAGAUAAUCUAUUGUCCUACCUACCGUGAGAAUCUUGAAUCAUUAUUAGCAUCUGUCAAAUACCAAAACCCAUAGUGAAUGUAAUUCUAGUUUUUCAUAAACUCUUGAUUACAAAUACUGAAACUAAAGUGACCAACAAUUAUUUGCUAAAUCUCAAAAACCCCUAUUUCAGGAAACAUCCAACUAUCAGUUGAUUACAUUGCAAAUGACUUAAGUUCACACCAUAUUCCCUGUGGAAUUCGAUCCCAACCUAGUUGGGUUAUAUAUUGACAACGAUCACUUACAUUCUUAUUUGAGAGGUGUAGUUUGAGCGUUACCAUAUUCAGAUAUCAACUACUCAGUAUAUAGACAUUAGUUAUCCCUUUACUUAGAUUUUAAUCAUUCUGUCGCACAGGCACUAAUUAUUCAGUUAAUCGAAUUAGCUCAGUACAUGUUAUGUUUGGUUUUGUAUGUUUAUGUAUUCAUGCUCAGUAUAUUGAUAUAUUCAGAUCCUCGAGUUAUGUCAUUUUCCAUCCCAUAGUUUUAGACCCAGAAUUCAUACAUGAUCCUUUAUAUAGUUUUACAACAUGGUUAGCUUUACAUGAGAUGUACAUACAAUAUUCAAGAUUUACCGUCUCCCUGCUUUAAUCCUACUUAUUCUACAAAAUUAAAGUUUUAAUAAACUAAGUGUAGUAAUUCACCAGAUUAUCAGAUUAUAUUUGUUAGACAUAUUUUAAGACACUUCAACUUUUAGUUGAUUUCAGUCUCUCGGUGAGUCUACUUACACUUAGCAUGCAUAUUUUAAGAUUAUGUAUCUAUUUUGUUUUAUGUGUUGCAUUCACCCCUGCUUACUCAGUACAUUCAAAAGUAUUGAUCCACAUAUAUGUCUUUGGGCUACAUUGUCUUAUAAUGUUGGUACCAAUUGUAUCCUACAUAUCAUUAUCAGACAGUUCGCAGUUUCUAACCAGCAGGUGAUGAGUUCUCCUAUUUUGGGGACUCUAGUCAGUUAUAAUUUAUGUAUCAUAUUGUAUUUAUUUAUAUAUAUUGAUUAGUGGUAGUUGGAGGAAUGUCCCAGAUAACUAUAGUCAGUAUAGUAGAGGUAGCAUAGAUGGUGAGUCAGAGCCAUAAAAUGUAAAUUUCAUUUCUCUCUUCAGUUUUAUUAGGUUGUAAACUUUAUCAAUAUUAUAUUUGUCCAAAUUAUGUUAUGAUUAUGUUUCCGCAUAGAAAAUUUAGCUAUUUUAUCUAUUCUAAAUUAGUUGCCCACGUAUUAUGCCAGUUCAUGGGUUAGCUUUGAAUCACUUGUGGUUCUAAGCAUCAUGUUAUGACUAGGGGGUAGUCUCGGAUCGUGACAAACUUAGUAUCAGAGUACAGAGUUCAAGUGUCCUAGGGUGUCUAUGAAGCCGUGUCUAGUAGAGUCUUGUAAAACAGUAUGUAGACGUCUGUACUUUUAUUAGGAAGGCUAACAGUCCCCACAUAUAAUUACAGGAUUACGCGUAGGCUAUUAAAGUACCUCAAUGUGCACUUAUGUUCCAAAGUAUGUAAAAUUCCAUUCAUGUUCAUGAAAAAUUGCCAUUAAGCCAAAGUCAAAUAUGCUUUCAGAUCCCUUCUCAGAAUCCAAUGAUAGCAUGUGACCUAGAGUUAGAAGCAUGAACCCAGAAGUUUAGUAAUAGUAAAGUGGGGAUAGUAUUUGUUUUGAUUUAGUAGAUUAUGUACCCAUGGGGCUAGUUGUCUAAAAGGUGAAUCGGUAGGCUUGAAAUAGUACAUUUAAGAACUUGAGUUUAUUGAUUCGAAAUUUGGUAUGGUGAUAUUGGGAAUAUUAGUGUAAUGGUAAUUCUCUUGGUUUAAGGAAAAGUAUAAGUUUAGAGGUGUGACAUUAGUAGACUAAGAAGGAAAUUAGUAUGGUUCAUUAAAAUUUUGAGAAUAUCCAUGUUAAUUGUUAGAAUUUAAGUUUAAAUCUUGGUUAAAUGAGCUAACAGGAAGAGGAUAACAAGUUCUGGAUGGUGUGUAUUCAGAUGGAAAUACUAGAAGUGGCGUUUACACUUACAGGUAUAGUAUUUCAGGGUAAGUUUAGUAUAUAUAUGUGUAUUGUUAUAUCUCGGACUCUAGAGUAAAAUGGUUGCAGUUCAGUUUUGAGCUUAUUAAGGGGUCCAUAGACUUAGAAUGAUAGUUUUAAGCUAAGAAAGAGAUAAUAGAACAAGAAACCAAGUAAAGCUCUCAGAUUCUAGUAGUGAUGUCGAUGUAUUAUAGAACAUUAGUAAGGGAGGAAGAUGACCGAUCCAUUCUUACCUUAGUGUAAGGUUUUGUAAUUCAGUCAUCACGAUAUCUACACAUGCCUUAUAAGUCAGCUCCAUGAUCAUAGCUCAUAUUCAUGCACUUUCCAUUGAAUCAUGUACGCUUCCAGUUCCUAAUAUAAGAAGUUCUAGUUCACUCAGGAGUACAAAUCAUAUUCCAUGAAUUUAUAAAACUCCAAACUCACGUCAUGCAAUUCAUGACUUAUGUACUUAUGCUUUACAGUAUGUUCCGUUCUAGGUACUCAUGUUACACUCUUAAUGAUCAGCAAAAUUUAGAUUAUGUCAUGUAUACCCUCAAUUUAGGUCUCUUAAAGGAGUCCAUGCCAUGGAGAAUCUAUUCCUCAGGCCUCAGUUAAGGGUCCAAGUUAUUCAUAGUAUUCUUUCAUGUUUUAGGUCCUCAUAUUAUAACCUUUCAAUAACCUCUUCUUUUGUUAAGGUAGUGGUGAUGAAAUAAAUUAAUGAUCAACGAUUUAGAUGUGAAAGAGUAAUUGUUCCAUAUUAGGAAAAGAUUAUUAUAUGCUUGUUCUAUAUAAGGCGAUAAGUGUGAAGAGAUAUUGAGGAAAAGCUUUUGAAAUAUACCAUGGUUAGUUGAGAAUUCUACAUGUGUUUUAUUAUGGAUAGAGCAUGGGAUUUGUUAUUGAUAAGGGAUAUUUGAGAAUGUGGUAAAGGUUCCUAGGUGGGUUGGUUGACCAAAAGUUUACAUGUGGUUAUAAUGAUAGGCUUAAAUGUGAUGUUGUUAUAUAAGUGGAAGAACGCAUUGUACGAUAGUAAAUUCUUGGUAAGAGGUUGCAUUUAGUUGUUGAAGUGAUAAGAAGAAUUAUUCUUGAGAUGUGAAGUUGUUAAAAUACAUGGGGUUUUGAAUUCAUGGCUCAAACUAGUAUUGCAGUGUUAUGUGUGCACUUAGUAGAUUUGAGUAGUUUUUAACAUUGUGAGAGAAUUCAGUUCAGCUAAGACUUUAGUAGAUAGAUUAUCAGUGCCCAUGUAAAGAUUAUAAGUAGCCCCAAGUGGAGUACUGUAUUAAAGGGGAAUGUUUAGUUGAGGGAGUGUUUGACGAGUUGUCUAAGCUUGAAAGUAGAAGUUGCAGUAUUAAGAAUCGAGUAGAAGUUGUAGUAUUAAGAAUCGAGGAAUUGCAAAGGCCACAUCCUAGGGUAUUUUAAUUCUCCCCCACUUGGAUCAUUCAUCCUCAAAUGACUGAACAAGGCAGUAUAAGCACGAUUAAACCCCCAAACAUCUCUACCCUUACCUUUAACUAAGUUAGAAAACAAAGGUACCAAGUGAAACACUAUAGUUUCUAGACCUUAGAAAGUUUCCUUGAUUUUUGAUUUCUAGGAAUGAUACAACUUAGGGGAUUGAGUCAUUCACUUGGAUACGUGUGGUAUGGUCCAUUCAUAUGCUUACCAGUGUUGGUUGGCAAGAUAGAUAUAGUUACUUUAAUGGGUACGAUUUGGGUGGUACGAGUUGUUUAGUUAGGUACGGGUUCUUUGGUUACUUUACUUAAACUUAUACUUGGUAACUUAAUUUGGAUAUGAGUACAAGUGGCUCACCAUGAGCCAUAAGCCAAGGUACGAGUCGUACCCAGGACUCGUAUGGUGGUUAGUGUUCAAACCUCCUGGAUUUCAUUUUGUCAGGGGUACGGUCUAUGGGUACUAGUCGUACACUUGAAUAUGACUUGGGUUUAGGUAUGUCAAACCUUGGAUAGUGUUGGGUCCAAGGGGAAAGCCUAGGGUACAAGAGGUAGGUACCACUCAUACAGGAUGUGUAUGAUUCGUAAGGGUCAGUCGUACCUUAUGAACUGGGAUUAUGUAGCUCAGCUAUCCUAAAUUCACCCAUGGGCUAUAUGGAUUUUGCUUCCCCUAAUUAAAGGGCCUCGACAUGUAUUAUCCACACAAGCUGGAUAAAAACCAAAGAUGACUAGUACAUCUCCCAUCAUAUAAGUGUGACAUGAUGCACACGGGUCACCAAGACCAUCCUAACAUCGGCUAACAUGAGUUUCUAAUUUUUGUACCCCCGGGACCACCUACCACAACUUUGCCAACACAUCCCCUUUUAAGCCCAUAUUAAAACCAUUCACACAAAAUCAACCAUUUACCAAGGAGUAUUAUUUAUUAGGCAAUAACUAUUGGUAUCGUCAUGCCCAAACUAGAGCUUGGAAGUCUAUCCAUUUAUGCCAUAACAAUGUCAUUAAACCAAUUUGACUCAAAAGUUUCCAUUUAAACUAGUACCAUGGCCACCAAGGCCAUUCCAAUCCAUUUAAAACCAUUUAAACUAAUUUAGGUUCCAUUACCUUGCUAUGCAAUACAAGGAUUUCAAUAAUAGCCAAACUAUGUGAUAAAAGCAUUCUCAUUGGCAUUUUAACAAACAUGUUGAGGGCAUAUAGUUUCCAAAGCGAAAACCUAGUAUCAAUUGACCAUUCCCAAUCAACCACAUUUUCAAAUCAUAAUUAAAACAUAUAAACCAUAAGUAAAACAUGGAAAAACACGAUCCAACCCAGAAAAAACAAAAACCCCAACAUAUAUUUCAAAACCCACAAAUAAUACACAAUAAUGCCAUGAAAACAAUUCACUAAAACAUGAUUUUAGUUGAACUACAAAUAAGAGAGAUUUGAUUAUCUUAAUUGAUUAUCUUAAAGAAAACCAUGGCAUUUCUUAAACCAAGAUCUUGAGAGAGAUUUGAGAGUGUUUAGAGAGUAUUUAAUUUUGAAUAAUAGGUUAAUAAUGCCUCUAAAGGUGUUUUAUGACGUGGGGUCAAAAGAAACUAUUAGGGUAAAUAUCCAGAAUACCCCCAACUUAAAUUGUAAAAAUCCAUUAGGUGGGUACAGUUGGACCCCUCAAAUCGUAUCCACACCAUAAGAGUAGUACCCCAUCCUCGUAUCUUGAUGAAAAAAUUGGACACCAUAUUUUGUCCAACAUACGAGUCCUGAGCCUAACUCGUACUAUCACCAUAUGACAAGUACCAUUCAAGUCGUACCCUAAGUAGAAUAUCAAGGCUAGACACUGGACAACAUACCAUUGGGCACUAUACUUUUUGUAUCAUAAACAUAUGACUCAUUACCACCAACCCAUGACCACAACAGAGUCCCAACCACUAGAUACUGAACACCUUAUGAGUUGGGUCGCCUAACCCAUACUCACACAUACGACUAGUAUGGUGAGUUAUAUAAUGACCAGAAAGCUUAACACUCAAGGAAUUGCAAGGGACAGAAUCCAGAGUGUUUCAUGAAAUACCCCAGAUGUUGGACCUUGAAAAUUCCUUGAGCUUUGAGUUUACUACCCUGGCUACGACUGGACCCUAUGAAGUGUAGCGGGUUCUCACGAGUCAUUGGGAUAAGUCAUAACAAAACCAGUAAGUUUGUGGAUAGAUUAAGCUCUGAGUAUAAGUUUCUCACUAAGAUCCGCAAGGAUAUAUUAUGAGUCAUCAGGUGUAAUCAUAGGGUGUCCAGCGUAAGUGCCAAUUUGGGUUUUUUGUUAAUUACGAGUGGACCCUAUGAGUCAUAUGGAGCCAUUAUGAGUGGUGUCAUGAGUCGUAAGGAUAAUAGUAUAAGGUGCCUUGGUAGUACUGCCUUUGUUCCAACUUCUGAUGAUGAGUCGCAAGGAGUGGUAACGAGUCAAGGGGUUGACCCACAGUCAAAGGCGGCACUUUUUAAGAUUUAAAGUUGAGGUUAUUCUGGAUAUUUUACCUCUUACUCACUUAAAACCCACGUCUUAUAACCUCAUUAGGGUUUUAUUAGCACUCAGAAACAUAUCAAGUAACUUCUUAACAUUCUCAAAUUUCUCAAGGUUAAGAACACUUAGGGUUUUCAAGAGGUUGAUCAAUUAGGGCUUUCAAGGGUGAUUUAUCUCUGUAAAUCUAACUAUUUCAAUAAUAUGAAUCUUCUCUCAUUGUUAAUUUAUUGAAAAGCAUAUGUAUUAAAGUGUUAUUCACGUGGAAUUAUUUUGGAUUUUAAACAAGGGUUGUGGAUUUUGAAUGCUUAUUGUUGAACAAUGUUUUCCCUUAAUUUAAGUAUGACUAUUCAUGCUUUAAAUAUGGUUUUGAACUUUUGGGUGCAAGGGUAUGGUAGAUGAAUUAGGGAGUUAUGAUUUUCCCAAACUAGUGAUUUUUGAAUGGUUAUGACCCCAACCCAUAGUGUGAAACAGAUUUUUUGAGCUAUGAGAAAGGUGGGAAUGUGUUUAUUGAACUAGUCUUGAACUGUUGCAUGAUAUAAAGAGGUAUUUCAAAUAUAAAGGUUUGAUUUAAUGAUCAAAAAGAGUCAGUGUUCCCUCACCUUAUAUUAAUGAACAAAUGAAGCUGUUCUCCCCAAGUUAAUGUAAGUUGUUUUGUCAUGAUGUAUUACCUUGCAAGUGUAGUUAGAAUGAUGAUACUAACAAUGUAUGCCUUAAUGUUAAAUGUGGUUCAUGAUUUAUAUUUUGUGAUAAAUGCUUUAAUUGGGCUCUAAUAAGGGUUGUGUAGUUAAGUCAUAAAAGUGGAGGUCUGGGUGACUGACAUUGGAAAUCAUAUUUGCCGAUGUGGGGGUCAAAGUGACCAGUGAGGUUCCAGGAUCCCUUAUUAUUAUUUCAUGAUUAGGGAGGCUUGAGUUCCCCAUAAAUAAUUAUAUGAUCUAGUUCUUAAGUCAUCAUAAUAUAUGUUGGAAGGUUUGAGUACCCCAUUUGCAUAUAUAUGAGAUUAUUCUCUGGUUAUUAUGGCUACAUGCACUGGGGACCGAUCAGGGGGUAAAAGUUGAGUCCCAUAUAGCUCGUAGGUACUAUUAUAUGGCGGUUGAGCUACACAAUCUAGGAAAAGUUUUUAAAUGCAUUUUAAGCCUUGUUCCCUAUCCUGACAUGUGACAUAUACAUACAUACAUAUAUAUAUGCAUUUGAAUAUGUGCAUUGGUUUUAGAAUGAUUAUAAAUUGUUGACCAUGUCAUUACGUUAUCCUUAUCCCCGAGUUACAUGCUAGUUCUCAUCCUACUAAUCGUCUUCGGGUAUUGUAUCCCCACACGAUACAGGAAUUGGCUCUACUUCUCCUGCUUAGUGACUUGGAUUCAAGAUCAGAUAGCAAGUUAGUUUAAAGUGGUGAGCUUUCAUACUUUGGAAUGCCCCAUUUUAUGAUUAUGGUUUCUUUCACAUUUUGACUAUUCCUUCAAAUUUGGUUUUUGUCUAUUGAUGGGGGCAUGUCCCGACACUUUACUAAUAUUAAGUUUUUUAUCAUCAUUUAGAAGGCUUUAUUUGGACUACUACAGUUAUUGGGUGGUAUCGAUCAGUCAUUUAGCUUGUCGUCGGUGGUUGGUUAUGGACAUGCAUUAAAGUUUUCAUAAGUUAUUACAGGCUAUCUUGUUAUAUAUUCAAAAUUUAUCCAACUUUAGAUGUGUUGUGUUUGGGUUGGUCAGAUACUUGGGGUGAUCUCUAGUCCACAUAGGACUUGAGAUACUCAAUACAGUCAAGCCCUGGUUUGGGUCAUGUAAGGUUUGAAAUUGGGUUGAGGGCUCUUUGAUGAUUAUCAGUUAAAUUAUAUUUCCUAUGGUUUAAAUGACUUAUUUAUACAUAAAUUGAUGAUUUUUGGGACUGAGUGAGUGUAUUAUUAUGGAAUUUGGAAUGGGAAACAAGUACUACCCUAAAUUAAUGGAUUUUGGCUUUGUAAUGGCAUUAACCUCAACCCACCUACUUGAUUUUGGUUUUAAAUGUGGAAUUUCCAUGAUUUGACUCACUUUUGAAAAUAUUUCAUUACAUUAAUGGACAAAUGGAUAAAAAUGAUUUGAAAGGACUUGGUGGCCAUGGGUUUGGAUUUUUAAAAAUCACUUGGGAGUCAAUUGGAUAAUUGGAAUGGAUUAGCAUGAUUAUAUAAGUCUAUAGGCAUAAUUGGUAUGACAAUACCAAGUGGUAAAUGCCUUAAAAUAAGACUCCUAUGUGUGUAAACACUAAUCCCAUUAUUUGUAGUUGAACAUAUAUUUCAUGAUCAUUGUCCUAGUGUUAAGAAUGCUUUUAAGGUGAAAAAUGUUCAUAGGAAUCACUUAGUGAAAAGUUAAGCUAAGAGCAUUUGAUUUGGCCAAAUUUGGUGUUUGAUUCCAAAAGAGGCAGAUUUGAACGUGCAUAAGUUCUUUCAUAUUUGGACUUUGUCAUCUCAAGACCCACAUAAUUGUAGAUAAUUGAAUCAGCUUUCCUACGACACUAAUUUUUCCUUAAUCUGAUACCCGAGCAAAAAAUUAUGGUCAUGUAAAGGUCGUGCAUCGCAUGACAAUCACAAAAGGCCAGUAGAAAGAGUGAGUGAUGGUCAUGAAUCUCCCACUUGGAGCUGUACGAUGGACAUGUAUCACCCACCUUGGCUUGGGCAAUUUUUGUGUGUCGCAUGGUGAUUGCAUUGUGUCAAAAGUGCUCUGUUAUGACUUAAAUCAAGAGCAUUGAAGUCUUUUCACAUACCUAAACCAUCCCUAAUCACUCCUAAUCGAUAUAAGGGGUCUUUAAAUACGUAAAUUCCACUCUCUUAACCCCAAGAAUUCAAGUCAUGAUUCAAAGACCCUCCUCCUCUCGCAAUAAUAAAAUCUAAGCCCCUUUCUCAAGGAAUAAAUAAUUCAAGCUUCCAAGUUCAAGAAACUCUCAACCUUGUGCCCAAAUGUAUGAUUUUCAAGUUGAAUUUAUAUUUUUUAAGUUAGGGUUCAUUCCCAAAUCCUCAUGUAUUGAAAGCAUAGCAUUAUCAUAUGAUUUAAGGGACUAAAGAUCAUAAGAGUUGUGCUUAUUCAUGUUUUAUACUACAAGGUUGAUAUUUUGUUUUGUAUAUCAUUACUUUGAUUAAAGUAUGAGUUUUUCCUUUAUUAUGAGAUUUCAUAUGUUCAGGAUGAGUUUGAUUCAUGUUCUCCUUAGUAGUUUGAACUAAAUUCAUGUCCAUGUAUGAUUCCAUGAAAAGUUAGGUUAUCUCAUGCUUCAAGUUUCUAUUUCCCAUGUCCUGUUCAAGUGAAUUUCAUGUUAUAAUGUCAAAUUAUGAACUUAUCCAUGUAAUAAUGUUUUUUACUUUUGUUUAACAAGUCAUGUUCUUCACUUACUUGGUGAGAUGUUUAUGUUUUGGAUCUUCAAACCAUAAUUUCCAUACAAUAGUUUUUAGCAUUAAUAUUAUAUUUUAUGAAUUAUUCAAUGCUAGCGGGUUAUGAACACCCGAUACCUAUGUGAUUUAUAUGAUUUCAAAUUUUCAAGUAACAAGUAAGUCAGAACCAUGAUUUUAACCCCAUAUUCAGAUUAUCAUUUUUAUAAUGAACCCACCAGUAUUAUCUAAUAUUAAAUACCUCAAAUUACAAGUUCAUGGUUACUUCAGAUUAUCCAUGCAUUGUCAGCUUUCAAAACACUAUGUUUGAGCAUAUCAGUCUUCAAUGCAUGCACCAAUUUAUGAUUUCAGUUUCAGUUUAGUUGGGAGUAGGACUUAGCAUGGAUCAAACCCAGGGGUGGGGGCUUACUAGCCAUUAGAGCAUGUGACCCUUAGUAGCAGUCGUUGAGUUACAGAACUACAUAGCCACCGUAUGUUUGAGAUAUCUACCUGCCAAUCGAGGGUUGAUGCAUAUCUCAUGAGAGCACCUGCUAGGAAAGGGUGACUCCUUAGUCCUUUGGCACACCAGUUUAGUGGAUCCACACAGCCACUAUAAGUACCCAUGGUACGGUACUGACACCCUUCCAACUGGGGUUAUAGGUUGGACCACGAUUAACUUAGAUUGGGGAAUGUCGGUUACAUAAUACCCCCCACAAUUUUAGUCAAAUUAUUCAGACUAAGUACAGUUCAGUAUUACAUAAUCAACAUUCAGAUAUCAAUUAAUCAAUAUACAGAUACCAGUUAAAUAGUAUUUAGAUGUGAGUCGAUCAUUAUUCAAAUAUCAGUUAUUCAGUAUUCAGUCAUCAGUUAUUCAGUAUUCAUAUAUCAGUUAUCCCGUGUUCAGAUAUCAGCUACUCAGUAUAUUGAUAUUAGUUAUCCCCUUACUUAGAUUUUAAUAAUUUAGUCACACAAGCAUCAAUUAUUCAGUUAAUCAGAUUAGCUCAGUACAUGUUAUGUUUGGUUUUGUAUGUUUAUGCAUUCAUGCUUAGUAUAUUGGUAUAUUCAAAUCCUUAAGUUAUAUCAGUUUCUAUCCCAUAGUUUUAGACCCAGAAUUCUUACAUGAUCCUCAAUAUAGUUUUACAACAUAUUCAGCUUUACAUGAGAUGUACAUACAGUAUUCAUGAUUUACCGCUUCCCAGCUUUAGUACUACUUAUUUUACAAAACUGAAGCUUUAAAAAACUAAGCGUAGUGACUCACCAGCUUAUCAGAUUAUAUUUUUUAGACAUGUUGUAAGAUACUUCAGCUUUCAGUUGAUUUCAGUCUCUUGGGGAGUCUACUUACACUAAACAUGCAUGUUUAAAGAUUACGUAUCUGUUCAGUUUUAUGUAUUUCAUUCACCCUUACUUACUCAGUACAUUCUAAAGUAUUGAUCCAUAUAUAUGUCUAUGUACUACAUUGUCUCAUAAUAUAGGUACUAGUUGUAGCCUAUACAUCAUUAUCAGACAGUUCGCAGUUUUCAACAAACAGGUGAUGAGUUCUCCUAUUUUGAGGACUCUAGUCAAUUAUAAUUUAUGUAUUAUAUUGUAUUUAUUUAUAUGUAUUGAUUAAUGGUAGUUGGAGGAAUGUCCCUAAUAUCUAUAAUCAGUAUAGUAGAGGCAGCAUAGAUGGUGAGACAGAGUCAUGAAAUGUAAAUUUCAAUUCUCUCUUCAGUUUUAUCAAGUUGUAAACUUUAUCAAUGUUAAAUUUGUCCAGAUUAUGUUAUGACUAUAUUUUCGCACAGAAAAUUUAGCUAUUUUAUAUAUUCUAAAUUAGUUGCCCACGUGUCAUGCCCGUUCAUGGGUUAGCCUGGGUCACUUAUGGUUCUAAGUACCGUGUUAAGACUAGGGGUAGUCUCGGGUUGUGAAAAACUUGUUAUCAGAGUAUAGAGUUCAAGUGUCCUAGGGUGUCUAUGAAGUCGUGUCUAGUAGAGUCUUGUAAAAUUGUACGUAGAUGUCUGUACUUUUCUUAGAAAGGCUACAGAGCAUUUAAGAAACAUUUCCCUUUUUUUCAUAUCUCAGAUCGUGCAAUAGAAAUGUUCUCUACGGAACUUAUGUAGAUUCGUACAUUACUUUAUUCUUUCCAGCUCUACCAUAUUUAAUGUUACAAAAAUAUCCAAGUUUAAAUCUUUCUAGAUAGAGUUUUAUCGAACAGUCCCCACUGAUAGUUACAGGAUUACACGUAGGCUAUAAAACUACCCCAAUGUGCCCAUAUGGUCCAAAGUAUGAAAGAUUUCAUUCAUGUUCAUGAAAAUCAGCAUUAAGUCAAAUUUGAAUAGCUUUCAGAUCACUUCUCAGAAUCCUAUGAUAGCACAUGACCUAGAGUUAGAAGCAUGAACCCAUAAGUUUAGCAGCAGUAAAAUGGGGUUAGUAUUUGUUUGGAAUUAGUAUAUUAUAUACCCAUGGGGUUAGUUGUCUGAAAGGUGAAUCGGUAGGCUUUAAAUAGUGUAUACAAGAAUUUGAGUUUGUUGAUUUAAAAUUUGGUAUGAUGAUAUUGGGAAUAUUGGUGUAAUGGUAAUUCUCCUAGUUUAGGGAAAAUUAUAAGUUUAGAGAUGUGACAUUAGUAGACUAUGAAGGAACUUAGUAUGGUUCAUUAAAUAUUUGGGAAUAUCCAUAUUAAGUGUUAGAAUUUAAGUUUGAAUCUUGGUUAAAUGAUCUAAUAGGAAGAGGAUAUGAAGUUCAAGAUGGUGUGAAUUAAGAUGGAAGUACUAGUAGUGGCUUUUACACUUUCAAGUGUAGUAUUUUAGGGUAAGUUUAAUAAAUAUAUGUGUGUAUUGUUAUAUCUAGAACUCUAGUGUAAAAUGGUUGCAGUUUAGUUUAAAGGUUAAUAAGGGGUCCACAAACUUGGAAUGAUAGUUUUAAGCUAAGGGGGAGAUGAUAGAACAAGUAACCAAGUCAGGCUCUCAGAUUCUAGUAGUGAUGUCGGUGUAUUAUAGAAUAUUAGUAAGGGAGGAAGAUGCCCGAUCCAUUCUUAUCUCAGUCUAAGGAGUGUUAUACCUUGGACAAAGUUGGGUUCAAGGGGGAAAACCUAGGGUACCAGAGGUGGGUACCUCUCGCACAGGAUGGUACAACUCGUAAGGGUCAGUCAUACCCUAUGACAGGAAUUUAAUGCAGUUUGAGUGAGGGCAAUUUGGACAUUUUACCACUUAUCCCAAUAAGGUUCCACGACUUAUAUUGCACUUGGAAGGUUAUUUUCCCUAUUAUUUUAUCCUUAAACACUUGAAAAACACUUUUAAAUCCUCUUUAGAGCUCUUGGGCAAAGGAAGCUAGGGUUUCAUCUUAAGGAGUAAUUUGGGGCUUGUCUUGGUGAUUUCUCUCCAUUAUCAUCUUGAUUUAAAGCAUGUUCUCUUCCCUCAUUGUUAGUUCCAACUUAAGGCAUGAUUUUUUACAAUGUUUUUAUGAUUUAAAUGUUUUAUGAUUUUCAGUUUUCAACUAUGAUUUGGGGGUUUUGGUUAUAAAUGUUUGGUUAUGGUUCUCCCAUGAUUUUAACUAUGCUUUUAUAUACAUUAAUAGUGGUUUUGGAUAAUUGAUUGCAUGGGAAUGGUUCUUCAGUAAUGGAACCCUAAAUGGUAUGAAUUGUUUAAAUAGUUUUGAAUGGAUUGAAAAGGUCUUGGUGGCCAUGGUUUUAGUUUAAUUAGAAAUCAUGUGGGGUACAUGGGAAUACCCUAAGGAUUGGUAAGGACAAUACUUUGGUUAAUAAUAAUGAAAUAAUGGUUUGGUUGGAAAAUAGCUUUAAUUGGGCUUAAAGAAGGGUGAUUAGCGAAUCUUUAGAAGGUGGAACCUGGGAGAAUCAAAACUGGUAAUGCAUAUUUGUCGAUGUGAGGUUUGGUCCUAGUGACCGUGUGGAUGAUGUCACACUUUAUAUUUUGGGGGAUCUACUUAUCAUCCCAGGUUUUCUUCCCUGGUCAUGCAACUUCACGCAUUGGGUCCCUUUCAGUAGGGGGCAGUUGAACCUAUAUAGCCCAUGGGUGGUUUAGGAAAGAAGAGUUGCACAUCCCAGGUAAAGGUUUUAAAUGGCAUAUAUAUAUGUAUGUAUAUAUGUGUGGUUGUGUGCAUAUGGAUGGUUUUUACUUGAUUUUAUAAAUGGCAUUAUUUUAUCCUUAUCCUGAGUUCAUGCUAGCAUUCACCGCUAACCCAUCUUUAAGUAUUGUAUCCCCACGCGAUGCAGAAACUGGCCGUUCUAAUCCUCCUACUUAUCAAUUCGUACUUCGGGAUCAGCAUAUGGAUUGAAGUGGUGAGAUUCUAUCUAUUCGGAAGGCUCUAUUUCAUGGAUAUCAUUUCAUACUUUGGAUUAUUUAUAGAUAUUGGAUUUGUCCCAAAUAUUUGUAUUCUUUUUGUUAGAGGCUUUAGUGGUACUGCUAUAGGUUGGAUGGGCGGAAUCGGUAUUGGUGUCAAUCUUAGUAUUGGCAUUGAUAUUUGGGCUGACUUCAUUAGACAAAAUUUCUCACUAUUCCAUGGUAUUUCAUUUUGGGAUUAUAUAUUUAAUUAUUAAUGGAACUUAUUUAGUUAUGCUUGGAUCUAUGGUUUGGUUUGGCUUAGAAUGGUUGGAUGGUUGAUAGGAGACGGUCGACUUGGUUGGGUCAGUCUCGGUAAUAGACCUAUCCCAGAUUCUGUAAUCUGAAUAAUUACACUAUCUUGUUAUAUGUUCGAUAUUCAGUCAACUCAAAGUAGGCGGAUGGAGGUUGGGUUGGAUAAUGGGGGUGGUUUCCGAUCCCAGUUAGACUUGGGAUGCCCAUUAUGAUAAGGACCCGGGCUGGGUCGUGUCACCAAGGAAGUCAAUAUUUCCUUUAACAAAGUUUGAAAACAAAGACGUUAUGAAGAACACAUACCUUGCACAUGAAUUUUUGGAGCAGAAAACAGGAACGGAUACUUGGAAUUCAUGUCCUCUUCAGCUUCCCAAGUAUCCUCUUUGACCUUGCGGUUCCUCCAUAUAACCUUUAUCGAGGCCACAUCCUUCGUCCGCAACCGAUGAACCUGACGAUCCAAGAUUUCAAUCGGGAUCUCUCCAUAAGAUAGGUAAUUCAAUAUACCAAUAUCCUUGAUAGAAAUAAUUUUUGACGAAUCACCAAUGCACUUCCUCAACAUAGAAACCCCCCACCUUUCAUGACCCGAGCUGGGGCCCUGGCUAUAACGGGUAUCUUGAACCAUCUAGGCCUGAGAGACCCCCCUGUAAUGGCCUGGUCCACUAGAGAUAUUAUUCAUUUUAGAUCCAGGACUGCACGGCUUUAAAAUAUGUCACUAGGGAGUGAGGCUUACUUACUUAUAUACCCAUCAUCCCUUCUGUGUUUCGCUGAUGUGAAACACUUUAUCCUAAGUUGGGGUGUUACAUACACCCCCUUAUGGACUAAGCAUCCUCGCUGAGGUUUACCCUCACAGAAUGUAUUAAAGUGUUAUUCAUAUGGAAUUAUUUUGGAUUUAAAACAAGGUUGUGGGUUUUGAAUACUUAUUGUUAAAUAAUGUUUUCCCUUACUUUAAUUAUGACUAUUCAUGUGUUAAAUAUAGUUUUAAACUUAUGGGUGCAUGGGUAUGGCGGAUGAGUUAGGGAGUUGUGAUUUUCCCAAACUUGUGACUUUUGAAUGGUAAUGACCCCAACCCAUAGUAUGAAACUGGUUUUUUGAGUUAUUAGAAAUGUUGGAAUUUAUAAAUAGAACUAGUCUUGAACUAUUGCAUGAUAUAAAGAGGUAUUUCAAAUAUAAUGGUCUGAUUUAGUGAUCAAAGAGAGUCGGUGUUCCCUCACCUUAUAUUAAUAAACAAAUGAAGUUGUUCUCCCCAAGUUAAUGGAACUUGUUUUUGGCAUGAUAUAUUAACUUGCAAGUAUAGUUGGAAUGAUGAUAACAACAAUGUAUUCCUUAAGGUUAAAUGUUGUUCAUGAUUUGGAUUAUGUGAUAAAUGCUUUAAUUGGGAUCUAAUAAGGGUUGUGUAGCUAAAUCAUGAAAUUGGAGGUCCGGGUGACCGACACUGGAAACCGCAUUUGCCGACAUGGGGGUAAAAGUGACCAGUAAGGUUUCGAUCCCCCUUAUUAUUAUUCCAUGAUUAGGGAGGCUUGAGUUCCUCAUAAAUAAUUAUAUGAUCGAGUGCUUAAGUCACCUUAGUAUAUGUUGGAAGGUUUGAGUCCCCUGUGUGCAUAUAUAUGAGAUUAUUCUAUAGUUUGUGUGGCUACAUACACUGGGGCUCAAUCAAGGGGUGAGAGCUGGGUCCCUUAUAGGCCGUGGGUACUACUAUAUGACGGUUCAAUUACACAAUCUAGGCAAAGUUUUAAAACGCCUGUUAAGUCUUGUUCCCUAUCCAGACAUGUGGCAUAUACAUACAUACAUACAUAUAUACAUAUAUAUAUAUAUAUAUAUAUAUGCAUUUGACUAUGUGCAUUGGUUUUUAAAUGAUUUUAAAUUGUUAACCAUGUCAUUAUGUUAUCCUUAUCCCUGAGUUACAUGAUAGUGUUCACCCUGCUAAUCAUCUCUGAACGUUGUAACCUCACACGAUGCAAGAAUCGGCUCUACUCCUCCUGCUCAGUGACUUGGAUUUAAGAUCAGCUAGCAAGUCAGUUUAAAGUGGUAAACUUCCAUACUUUAUAAGGCUCUAUUUCAUGAUUAUGGUUUCUAUCAUAUUUUGACUAUUUCUUAGGAUUUGGUUUUUGGCUAUUGUCGAGGGCAUAUCCCGACACUUUACUAAUAUUCAGUUUUUGAUCAUUGUUUAGAAGGCUUUGUUUGUACUACUGCGGUUAUUGGGCGGUGUUGGUUAGGUAUUUAGCCGAUCGUUGGUGGUUGGUUAUGGACAUGCAUUAAAAUUUUCUUAAGCUAUUGCAUGUUAUCUUGUUAUAUGUUCAAAAUUCAUCCGACUUUAGGUAUGUUGUAUUUGGGUUGAGACAUGAUUUGGCCAGAGAAUCAUACUAGAGAGAUGUAAACUACUUAUGAUACACUUGACCAUCUCUGAAAAACACUAAACCCUACAUUUAGCUGACGGACAUGGCGACCACUUCCUGUUGGUUAGACCCACCAAAAAAUGCUAAAAUCAUGACUUAGAAUGAACUAUCUACCAAACAAACAUAUGUUAAUGUUUUGAAACCUAGGAGUGCUACUAUUAAUGAAGUUAGAGUACCUUCGAAACCCGUAUUGAUGGAGGGUGAACCAAGUAUCACUUGGAAAUCAUCAGAGAUUCAGAACUUAAUACUGCAAGAAAAUUUGCAAUUUGCAAUAAUUGGUAAAUUUUUUUCUUAUGGUAAACCAAAUUUUAGUGAACUGAGGAAAGUACUACCAAGCCAAUGUGGGAUCAAAGGAGAUUGUAAUAUUGGUGUCCUUGACUCUAGAUAUAUUCCCAUUACAUUAGAGGUGAUGGAAGAUUAUGUUAAUUUGUUAUCAAUGGCUGCUUAUUAUCUCAAAGACAUGGAUCAAUUUUGGCAGAUGCAAACAAUAAAAUGGGAUCCUUCAUUUAAGAUUAAUGUGGAGACUACUAUAGGGAUUGCAUGGAUCUCGAUGCCAGACUUACCUCCUAAUUUUUUUGAGAAAGAGAUGAUUUUUUCAAUAGCAUCAGCUGUUGGAAAACCACUAACAGUAGAUAUGGCCACAAAGAAUAAGACAAGACCUAGUUAUGCAAGAGUUAAGGUAGAAGUAGAUUUGGUUGCUAAAUUACCUCAGCAAGUUAGAAUUAAUCAAGAGGAUGAUGUAACAGGAGAAAUAAGGUUUAAAUAGGUACAAAUUGACUAUGACUAUAUGCCCAAAUAUUGUAAGUAGUGUUGGUUACAAGGACAUAAUUAAGAGACUUGUUAGAAUAAACACCUUAAACUACAGCAGGAGAAGAUGGAGAAGCAGAGAAAAUAAUUCACUGAACAAGGGGAAGGAAAUAUAGAUAAGGAGGAGGGAAAGGUGUUGAGUAAUCAAAGUAGGAUUCAUAGUUAUAAGCAGCAGUGGCUCACUAGAAGAAUAAGACAGGUAUGGACUUAUAGUGGGGGAAGUAGAAGAAGAGGGCCAGAAAGAAGUCCACAUGUCUAAAACUUUUGAUGCAUUAACUAAUGAAGACACAAUAGAGGAUCCUAGUAAUGAAAACUAGCAAGAGGAUAAUUUUGAAAAGGUGGAAAAUAAAGAGUAUGACAAACAAAGUACCAAGGAUUGGAUUACUAGUAGCUUUGGAAGCAACAAUUUGAAUAAAGAGAGCACAGAAAAUCAAAAGAUACAAACCACAAAGAAAGAACCUCAUAGGAAGGAGAAUGUUGAACAAGUGGAAAAAGUACAUUCAACAAGAGAAUAACAAGUACAGAAUGAUAGUACAAGUACAGAGGAGUCAAUGCAGCUGGCAGUAGUGGAAAAUAAGAAUAAUAAGGAAGAGUCACAUGUGGUAAAAGAUGUUUUGCCAUUGGCCAUUCAUGCAGGUAAUCUGUUGGAGUAUGCUAACAAGAAUAAUAUAUGCUUGGGUGAGGAGGAUCUAAAAGAUCCUAUUAAUAAAGUUGCAAUUGAAGGUAACCUAUCACCAAAGCAGAUAGAUAAAUUGAAGUUGAAACAAGGGAUGCAGAAAAGAAAAGAACUUUUUUUGAAAUCAUCCUCAAUGCAGACUAGAAGCUCUCUAAAGAAUAAAUUAAAUGAAAUCUCUUAUUUGGAAUAUCAGAUCAGUCGAUACCCAACAGGCAUUCACAAGAUUGACUAAUCUUCAUAAGAGACAUUAAUUUUAUUUCAUUGGAUUGAUGGAACCGUUUCAGAAUAAUCAUACACUUGAACAUUACAGAAGGAAAUUGGGAAUGAAGCAUGCAGUAGAUAAUAGAUUAGGAAAAAUAUAGGCCUUUGUUGAUGAGAUGAUUACUUUUUUAGUGGUAGCAAAUGCAGAACAUAGUUAACCUUAAAGUUGCAAAUUCAAGAAGUAGGGAUUACUAUUUUUGUAACAUUAGUUUAUGCUAAAUGAUCCCAACAUGAAAGAGUAGAGUUAUGGGAAUCACUGGAAUAAAUGAACAAUAACAUUAAUGAUCCUUGGCUAAUAGAAGGUGAUUUUAAUGUUAUUACUAAUGAAGAAGAGAAGUUUGGAGGCCUUCCUAUUACUUUAGAUGAAAUAGAAGACUUUAAGCAGUGUUUGGAUAUUUGCAACCUUGAAGAUAUAGGCUUUAAAGUAAGCAAGUACUCUAAGUAGUGUUUGGAUAUUUGCAACCUUGAAGAUAUAGGCUUUAAAGUAAGCAAGUACAUCUGGUGGAAUGGUCGAAUGGAUGAGGAUUGUAUUUUUAAGAGGCUGGACAAAGUACUUUCUAAUGAUAAAAUGGGUGAUCUAUUUCCAGUAAUUGAGGUUAAACAUCUGAUUAGAAGUGGGUCAAACCACAAUCCUAUGUUGAUCAGUUUUAAGAAUGUAUAGGAAGAAAUUGCUAAGCCUUUUAGAUUCUUAAAUAUGUGGCUUAAAGAGGAGGGAUGUUAGUAUAUAAUAAGACAGAACUAGACCACUGAUAAACAAAGGAACCCUUUCAUGAUAUUUCAUAAUAAUAUGAAGAAGGUUAAAGCUGCAUUAGCAAAAUGGAGUAGAGACAGCUUUGGUAAUAUAUUUCAAGAAAUUCCUACUCUGAAGGAUAUUAUCAAAGUUGGAGAGCAGCAAUUUGAGAUGUCACCAUCAGGAACAAACAAGGAAGUAUUAUUAAAGGCUUAAGUAGAUCUGAAUAUUUAACUUACAAGAUAGAAGGAGUUUUGGAAGCAGAAAGCAAGAUUAUAAUGGUUCAAAUAUGGGGAAAAAUACCAAAUUUUUCCAUGCAGUGGUCAAGGGGAGAAUGAAUAGGCUAAAACUGAAGAGAAUUCAGAAUGCAAAGGGUCAAUGGCUGGAGGAUCAAGUAGACAUUGUAGAUGUAGUUGUUAGAUAUUUUCAAAAAUAGUUUGAGAAAUAAGAGAACAAUAAUGACUUCUCUAUGCUGGAGGAGCUACCUCGAGUCAUUUACAAGAGCAAAAUGAAAAAUUAAAUAAAAUUCCUGAUUAGAGAAAGUAAAGCAAACAGUAAUGGGUUUGAAUAGGGAUAGUAUUUAUUGGUCCAGAUGGGAUGACAGGUGCUUUUUUUUUCAAGAUUCUUGGGAAAUUAUAGGUUCUGAUGUUCUUUUAAUGGUAGUUGCUUUCUUCUGUGGGUAUGAACUACCAAGAUUUGUAACCCAUACAAAUUUGGUACUUCUACCUAAGAAAUUAGUAACUAACACUUUCUCUGAUUUGAGACCAAUUUUCUUAACUUUCUAAUAAAUUCUUUUCUAGAAUUAUUCAUGAAUGGUUAAAGAUGUAUUUUCUUGAGAUUAUAUCAGAGGAGCAGGCUGGGUUUGUUCAGGGGAGAAGUAUUACUGAAAAUAUUUUAGUUGUUCAAGAAGUUGUUUCUGAAAUUAGGAAAAGGCCGAAGGUUCCUAAUAUGGUGACUAAACUUGACAUGAUGAAGGCUUACGACAUGGUGGACUGGUUGUAUCUUACUAAGGUUUGAAGAAGGGUAGGCUUCUCAAAAAUAAUCAUUGAUAUGAUUUACAAAUUGGUAAGUAAUAACUGGUACUCUAUAUUGAUAAAUGGCCAACCAAAGGGAUUCUUUGGAUCUCAAAGGGGAUUGAAGUAGGGUGAUCUAUUAUCUCCUACUCUAUUUAUUAUAGCAGCUGAACUUAUUUCCAGAGCAUUGAAACCCUUAAUUCUAAAACAAAUAUUAAGAUGUAUGGAUUACUAAGGGGGAGUCCCAAGUUCAACUAUUUUUCCUUUACAGAUAAUAUAAUCAUCUUAGCAAGGCUAAGUUGGGUACUAUGAAGAUUGUGGCAAGCACACUGGAAAGAUACGAAAGGGUGUCAGGGCAGAAAAUUAAUAAAGAAAAAAGUGCAAUUUAUUUACACAAGGGAGUGUCUCAAGGUACUAUUAUCAUGGCUGAGGUGACCUUGGUAUCCUAAGGAAGGAAUUCCCCUUAACCUGCCUUGGAUAUCCUAAAUUUCACAUGAGGAAGAAUAAAUUUUUCUACCAAUCAUUGAUGAAUAAAGUUAGUUCCAAGCUAUAAUAGUGGAAAGGUAAGAUUCUUUCUUAUGGUGGGAGAGUAAUUCUAAUCAAGCAUGUUCUGCAGAGCAUUCCUAUUCACUGUUUAUCAGUAAUGAAUCCCCCUUUAAAUGUUAUGACUACUAUACAAAAGAUGUUUCAUCAAUUUUUUUGGAGUAGUAAUAUAGGUAGAAAAAGUAGGCAUUGGGUUAGAUGGAUUUCUUUAUGCCUACCAUAAAAUGGAGGGGGUGGGAUUCAGAAGGAUUCAAGAUGUAUCAAUUGACCUAUUUUGUACAUUAUGGUGGAAAUUUAGAACUAAAGUGUUGAUAUGGAGUGCUUAUAUACAUAAUAAGUAUUGUAGGAAUAGUCAUCCUAAUGAAGCAAUAUGGAAGCCCGGGUAUGGAUCAUAGGUUUGGAAGAAAAUGCUUCAGGCAAGAGAUUUAAUAGAACACCAAAUUUUAUGGAAGAUCAAAGAUAGAGAAUCUAGUCUAUAGUUUGAUAAUUGGAUUGGAUAUGGUAAUUUUCAUACUAUAUCUGAUCAGAGUAGAGUGUGGGAUACUAGAUAUAAGAAAGUGAAGGACUUAGUGAGUGAAGUCAGUUGGAUUGAACAAGUGUUAGAUCAGCUGGUGAAUUAAGAAAUCAAGGAUCUAAUCAUUGAUAAAAUACAGUCUCCAAUUAGAAGUGUGGGAACUAGACCUAUUUGGAUAUCGGAACCUACAUGGAACUUUACUAUAAGGUCAGUAUGGCAAUAUGGCAGACAAAGAAAAGGAAAGAACAAUGUAUUCAAAGGUAUUUCGAUAAAAGAACUGCCUUUCGAAAUGGUUUUUCUAAUGUGGAGCAUUUGUAAAGGGAAAGUUCCAGUAGAUGGAUAUUUAAGAAGAUGAGGUAUGCAGGGACCUACUAGGUGUUGGUGUUGCACUAAUCCAGAGUAAGAAACUAUUUCAUAUGUGUUUCUAAAGGCUCUACAUACUAACAGGACUGGUCCUAUUUUUCUUGUUUUGCAGGUAUACUAUGAAUGGACUAAGUUUCAGGGAAACCAUACUUGCUUGGUGGAAUGUGCAUAGCAAAAAGAGAGUAAAAGCAUACUAUAUGGCAGUACCAAGCAUGAUUAUAUAGGAACUGUGGAAAAAAAGGAACUCUAUCAAGCCUGAAGGAAGAGUUAAUUCUGUGCACAAAGUAAUAUAUAAUGUCAAUAAGAACAUUGGUAUGUUAAAGUAAGAAGACCAGCUAAACAAUACCCUAUAACCUGGCCGACAUUUUUACAGUAUUGGAGCAGAGUACAAUCAGAAUGAAGAUCACUAGAGUACUGUGGAGAUUUCCUGAGGAUGGUUGGAUGAAGUAUAACACUGAUGGAGCAUCUAGGGGAAACCCAGGGUUUAGUUCAUAAGCAUUCUGUCUAAGAGACAUUAAGGGAGACCUAAUUUAUGCCCCAGGAGCUAGAAUAGAGGAUACAUCUAAUGUGGAAGCAAAAAUCAUGGCUAUGUUACAAGCAGUAAGGCAUUUCAGUAAUUCAUGUUAUGAUAUAAUAAAAUUUCAAAUAGACUCACUAUUUGUGCAAAAGAUAAUAAAUAGGGAGUGGACAUGUCCAUGGAAUCUAGAAAAUUAUUUGGAGCAGAUAAGGAGAUUAAAAAUUAACAAGCACAUUCAAGUACAGCAUAUACUGAGGGAGGGCAACCAAUUAGCAGAUCAUCUUGCAAACCAUGCAAUUAAUAUAGGGGAAUUCAUUUUUAUAAGUUUUCAGCAACUACAAUCCAAAGAAAAUAGAAUUCUAAACAGUGACAAGCUACAAUGUCGUUACAUGCAAAUUUCACCAUCGAGGGGGUAAGAGGGAUGCCCAGGCUAAAGCUUCAAUUGAACAAAACAAUAUGUACAAAAAUACAGUCACAAAAGUUGUACAAAGCUAUGUAGCCUAUCCUAUUACAUCCAGCAAAAGUACUCAUAGUGUAAAGGAAGGGUUUUAUUAGAUCUUUAAAUGAAACAUCUAAAGAGAUACAAAUAGAAUAACCACAUGUAGGUCCGAGCAUUUUGUUAUCUCCCUCCCAUCAGUUGGUACAAGAAGCAACAUAUUACUCAGAUCAUUGAACUGGAGAACAUGGAUCAGAAGAAGAUGAACAAAAUAAGGCUUACCUAUAUUUUGAUGUACUUUUAGGGUCUAAACCCUUCAAUCAAGCACCAAAAAUAUUUGAUAAUCCCAACAACCAGAGAGCAAAACUGUGAAAUCAAAAAUUGAUGACUAAAAACUUAAAAAUGGAGCAUUAAGUAAUGGAAAAGGGAAUAGGAUAAUUACUUCUGGUAGCUGAUAUGUGAGCUAGUCUAUAACAUGGCCAUGGUAUAGAAGUAAUGAUCCAUAACUUCUUCAAGAGGAAGCUUAAGUUCAUCAGUGGAGUCGACAACAUUGUUUCAAAUGGAGCUAAUGCGGCGGAUUUGAUUUAGGAAACACAAACCCUAUUUUUAAGGGUAUAGGUAAUAAACAAAACAGGUUGGGU